UCCUCAUCCGAUGAAGAGGAUGAUGAGUCGGAGUCGGAUAGUGUCGUGACAAGAGCCUUCUUCUUCUUGUACUUGCUCCCCUUCUUCAGUAAAGGGCACUCAGCUCUUAUGUGACCCGGCUUCUUGCACUCGUAACACCCAAUCCCCUCAUUUUUCCUUUCCUUACCUUUGUCCUUGCAGUAGGAAUUUGAGGGGCCUCUCCUUUGAUGAUAAGACUUCUUGUGGUUGAUGAAUUUUCUGAAUUUGCGCACAAGAAGAGCCUCACCAUCAUCUCCCUCAAGCUCUNNNNNNNNNNNNNNNNNNNNNNNNNNNNNNNNNNNNNNNNNNNNNNNNNNNNNNNNNNNNNNNNNNNNNNNNNNNNNNNNNNNNNNNNNNNNNNNNNNNNNNNNNNNNNNNNNNNNNNNNNNNNNNNNNNNNNNNNNNNNNNNNNNNNNNNNNNNNNNNNNNNNNNNNNNNNNNNNNNNNNNNNNNNNNNNNNNNNNNNNNNNNNNNNNNNNNNNNNNNNNNNNNNNNNNNNNNNNNNNNNNNNNNNNNNNNNNNNNNNNNNNNNNNNNNNNNNNNNNNNNNNNNNNNNNNNNNNNNNNNNNNNNNNNNNNNNNNNNNNNNNNNNNNNNNNNNNNNNNNNNNNNNNNNAAACAGAAAAUACUCAAAGCUUAUUUGGCAAGAGAAUGAAUAGCAAGAAGAAGAGGCUUACCGGCAGUCGACGGAGGCGGCGGAUCCCGGCCGCAGGUGGCUCAGUCUGGCAGUCAAGCAGCGGAUCUCACAGCGGCGGCGGCGGCGGCAGUAUAAAGCCGAUCUCGAAACAGAGAGAAAAUGGAUCACGGAAAGGUCUUUGGACGGCGCUCAGACGAGGUGGCAUGCCGGCCACCGGAGCAGGAGGAGAAGAUAGGAGGAGACAGAGGAGAGGGAGGACGGCUCGGAGGUGAUCUUAGGAAGAGGAAUGGGGGGUUUUAUCGCCCAAUUCCAAUGGUUCUCUGCCGCGGGAAUCGCGGCGAUGGGGCGAAAUUAGCGGCUGCUCGUGCGGCCACGGGGUGGACGCGGAACAACCGCGGUGCAGCCGCGGCGUCCCUGUGCUUGGAGAAGUCGGAGAGGAUCGCGAUUGGGAUCCCCUGCUCUGCCCCUUCCAAAAGGGGCUGCAGGCUUCAGCCCAGUAUCUCACACAUAAACUGCCCCCAUCUUACACUCUUGCUAUCUAGUCGAAAAAUAAUAUUUUUAAUAAUUAUGAGCAAAAAAUAAUAUUGUUACUUAGUCUUUAUUAUAUGUUAUUUUAAUCUCCAUAUCUACAAAACUGAUGGGAGAGGAAAAGCUCUAUCAGUUCCAACUUUUACAAAAAAAACUUAAAAAAGUCUAGCAUGCCAAUGCACUCCAAACUAAAUAAACUCUUCUUAGUAUACCAUUUUCCUAUUAACAUUCGAUAAAUUAAAUCCUCUUUAUAAAACAAACCAUUUUUUUCUCGUCCCUGACGGUAAUAAGUAUUAGUAUAAACAAAUAGCCAUAAUAAUAAUAAUAAUUUUUAAUAUAAAAAUUUAAAAUAUUAUCUUUGGAAAUAAAUAAUAAUCUUUCCGUUUUACAAAUUAUAAGAACCAAUAACAGCUCGAGUGGGAUCCAUUACCGUGUGAAUAACCGUUAUUCAACCUUGCGCCUGAUGGACCAGUAAUGCCUUUGACGUCUGUCAUUCCAUUUUUCUUGGUUUAACUCUCCAAGGAGCUUCCGUGCAUAAGGCUGGCACAACCCUUAGGCGGCUGAGAUGGUCACCUAAGGCUCCGGCUCAAAGAAGGCCCACCGCAUGAAAAACUUUAGGGCUCGUUUGGUUCGCGGGAAAAGAAGGAGGAAAAAUAUGAUCAACGAAAAAGUAAAGAGAUGCCUAUUGUUUGGUUGGAAUUUUCAAAAGAGAGAGACGAAAAAGUUGUAUUCCCGUGGGAAUAUGAUUUCCACAUUUCAAGAAAAAGUCUUUUUCAUGAAAAACAUAGGAAAGUUACUUUUCCGUAAGCCGGAAAUCAAAACAUUUUUAUUUUUUCGCAAAAGGGCCCUUCAGCAUCAAAUCAAGGAUUCUUAUUCGAUCCAAAGCAUUAAAACUUAAUUUUUAUUAAGGGUAUAAUAGAAAUUAUAUAUAAUUUUUUUAGGAAUGUGGAUGGUCAACCAAACAUAAGCACUUUCAAAAUCUGUUACUUUUUCAUGGUCAACCAAAUAUGCCAAAAGUAUUUUUUUCAGACAUUCUUUUUAUAGAAAUCUGUUUCUCAAAAAUUAUAUUUUUAUGAGAAAAAAUGUUUUCCGCGAACCAAACGAGCUCUUAAAGAUAAAAUAGAAAUUUUUUUUUUUUUAUGAAUUCGGCUUAGACCGGGCUGCGGUUGAAAAAGCUCUAAAGAAAAAAUCAUAGAAGUGACCGCCAACAACCUAUGAGUGGCCGUCCUUGUCGAUGGGCGAUAAGGUUCGAACUUUUGUAACUUUGUCAAAUUCCCAGACAGCUCAUUGUCCCCAUCCAUUUGUCUGACAUUGGAAAGCUCCAUUCAGAUCUAUAGCGCCUCUGAAGCCCACAACAAACACUGAACACCACCACCAACCUGCCUCGAGCCCGUUGUCCAUUAGCCUUCAACAAGGAGGAAGCAAGCAAGGGGAGGAGUAAUGGCUAGUGGAAUUCUUUCUUCCAUCACUCGGAUGACCGAUAAGUUGGCAGCUCCCAUUCGGAGAUCCCUCGGGGGCUCAUCCUCUUCUGACCCACAUAGUGUGGAAGAAGAUCUCAACAAGCUAAAAUCCACCCUCGAGACGAUUGAAGCUGUGCUCUAUGAUGCCGAGAAGAGGGAGAUACGAGAGGAGUCUGUCAAGCUCUGGCUGAGCGAGCUCAAAGCCGUGGCCUGCGACUCUGAGGACGUGCUCGAUGAGUUCGAAUAUGAGUUGCUGCGGUCCAAGUUGGAGAGUAGAGCUCCCAUGAAAUUCCCAGGCAAGAGGAAGCAAGGAGAGGUACGUGAAUUCAUUCCUUCUCCUUUGAAUGAAGCUUCUUUUCGUGAUAGCUUGGCACGUAGGAUUAAGCAGAUCCGAGAGAGGUUCGAUGAGAUCGCAGCGGAACGGGUGGCUCUCCAACUGCGAGAAGGAGAUGGGCCAUUGCGGGUGGUCGACAAUUACAAGCAGCCUCCGAGUAGCUCCAAUCUUAGCCAAUUGGAAAUUCAUGGUAGAGAGGAAGACUGUAUAAAGCUCAUCAAAUUGUUAUUAUCAGAAGAUUUCAAGGGGAGUAAUAUUUCAGUUCUUCCAAUAGUUGGCAUGCCGGGAGUCGGAAAGACAACAUUAGCGCAGCUUGUCUUCAAUGAUUCCAGAGUAUGCAAGCAUUUCAAUACAAGGGAAUGGAUCAGCUUAUAUGGAAGCUUUAAUGUCGCAAGGCUGAUGAAAGAGAUCAUCGAGUCGAUCACCAAGAGCCCAUCUGAUCUUACUGAAGUGAGUGCCCUUCAAGAAUGUCUCAAGGAGGUGCUGAGUGCCAAGAGAUUCUUGCUUGUAUUGGACGACGUAUGGAAUGAGGAUCAGAUGCUAUGGGAGAUGUUAAGGUCUGCCUUGGCAUCAGAUGUAGAAGGGAGCAAAAUCAUUGUGACCACUCGGAAUGAAACUGUUGCUAGAAUCGUGCAGACGAUGCCUCUUUAUCAACUUGAUUGCUUGUCGGAUGAAGAUUGCUGGCGGCUGUUUCGAAGAUGGGCAUUCGAUGGGCGAGAUCCGAGAGCACACCCGGAAUUAGUGGAGAUCGGAAAGAUGAUUGCAAGCAAGUGCGGAGGCUUGCCUCUAGCUGCAAAGGCACUGGGAGGCCUCCUACGCUUCGAGAAUGAUGAAGAGAAGUGGGUCGAUCUUCUUCAGAGUGACCUAUGGGAUCUGGAAGACACUGAGAAUAAGAUCUUGCCAGCUCUGAAACUUAGCUACCAACAUUUGCCGGUCCAUUUGAAGCGCUGCUUUGUUUACUGCUCGGUGUUUCCAAAAGGUUUUGUGUUCAAGAAGCAUGUAUUGGUCAGGCUGUGGAUGGUGCAAGGCUUCCUCCAGACAAGGGAUGACAAAGAACCAGAGGACAUGGGUUUCGAAUGCUUCGAUGACUUGCUUGGGAGGUCAUUCUUCCAGCACUGGAAGCUAGAAUUUGGCGACGAGGAAAAAUUUGUUAUGCAUGAUCUCUUUCUUGAUCUAUGCCGAUACAUUUCUGGGGAAGAGUGCUUGCUGACAGAGAAUUCUGACCUUCGCAGUCUCUCUCCAGAAGCACGCCACCUCUCCUUGAUCCCAUAUGGAUCCAGAGUGACAAUGCAAUUGAACUCUAUCGACAAGCCCAGGCCCCUACGCUCGCUGCUACUCAUCUAUAGGCUGAUAUAUUCAUGGGGUGGAGUAGGCUUGUGGGAAGGGAAUCUCGUGCAUCUCAAGAUUCCAGAUGAUAUCUUCCUGAAUUUGCCAUGCUUACGGAGUCUGGAUUUGGCUUACACUGACAUAGAGGAGCUACCAAAUUCGAUCGGCAGCCUGAAACACCUGCGAUACCUCAGUCUCAGAAGCACUAAGAUCCGUAAGCUUCCUGAAUCCUUAUGUAGACUUUACUAUCUGCAGACACUGGAGAUGGCAUACUGCAACAAUCUUCGUGAGUUACCAAAAGGCAUUGGAAACCUCGCCAACCUGAGGCAUUUAGAGCUGCCAACAAUGGAGGAUUCAUAUGUCUGUAUGCCAUCUGGGAUCGGCAGAUUAACUGGUCUCCAAGAGCUUGCAGCAUUCAAUGUGGGGGGAGAUGGUCGGCAUUGUGGUAUCGGGGAGUUGAAGGACAUGGCAAAUCUUGGAGGGGACCUCCAUAUCUCUGGGCUCCGAAAUGUAGCUCGAGGAUGGGAUGCAAAGGAGGCCAAUUUGAUGAACAAGAAAAAUCUUCAGAGGUUGACACUAGAUUGGUAUGUUCACCAAUCAGACUACAAGUGCAGUCAUUUGAACCUCAGUUCUGAUGAUGAGCGGACCGCAGCCAAGCUUGGAGCAAACUGCAGCUCAGAAUCUGGAGGAGUGCUCGCCGUGCCUUGGGAACAUUUCCAGGAGGAGGAUGUGGUGUUCGAGAGCCUCCAACCUCACCCCAACCUUGUGGUGUUGCAAAUUCGAAACUACAAUGGUGCAAGAUUUCCCAAAUGGCUGGGGGAUCCAUCCUUGUCCAAUCUUGUCACUAUAAAGCUCUUUAUCUGCGAGAAAUGUGAAGCCCUUCCAUCGUUUGGCGAGCUAUCAUCUCUCAGAAAUCUCCACAUAGCAGGAAUGGGCAGCAUUCGGCGCAUCGAGCAAGAGUUUUGCGGCACUAAGCAAUUCCCGGCAUUGGAGGAGCUGCAAUUCGAGUGGAUGCCUGAAUGGGAGGCAUGGAGUGGAGUGAAGGAAGGUGCAUUUCCUCAGCUUGCCGAGCUAAUAUUUCGUGAUUGCCCAAAACUGGGUAUCAUCCCGAAAGAUCUCGCGCCAUCCUUGAAGAAGCUUGAUGUAGGGGACUGCAAGCAGCUGAGCAUCCUCCCAGCUCCCCCAUCUCUCACCAGCUUAUGUAUAGGAGGGGAGUCCAUGGAACAAUUAUGGUCUUAUACCACAGAACUCACCAAGCUUGAGGCCUUAGAAGUGGCGUACUGUGAAGGACUGACUUGCCUUCCUUUGCACAAUAUGCCGGCUCUUAAGAGGCUGGAGAUCACAGACUGCUCACAGCUUGCAACUAUAGAUUGUAGGGGUGGAUCUGCUGCUGCCAAGGCUCUGGCUUCUUCCUCUUCUUCAGUGCCAUCCCAGGUUGGGCUGCACAAUUUGAUAUCACUUGAAAAUUUGAAGAUUGAGAAUUGCCCGGUGCUUCAAUUUGCGAUGGAAGAGCAGCUUCCUCCAAUGCUUAAGGAUGUGGUGAUAUCCUGUUGUCCAUUUCUGGUGGAGUGGUGUGAAAGAUCAGAAGGAAGAAGUCAGUUGGCACGGGUGCCUAAUUUUCUAGUUGAGAACUAUGAUGCCGAUGAGGUAUGUGCAAAGCAACUGGAUCAUAAAGCUUCAAAGAUAAAUUAAUAAGGAUCACUUAAGCAUACAUAUUUUUUUGAUGAUUUAAUUAGACAACUGCUUAAAGAACAUUUCUUUGUGGAAAUUUUUACCAAACAUGAAAGUUUCAGAAAUAGUACUUCGACAUAUAUACAUAUAUAUAUAUAUUUCCAAUGCUCGAGAAAACUAGGUAUAUUUAGGAAUUCAUAAGAAAACUCAAACUCAAAUGAAACAAUGACUUACAUCAGAAGGACAAGAAAAAGCAAGAUAUUAUUAUUUUCCAUCGAUGUGCCUGAACACUAGAGAAGCUUUGGCGAUCAGAUUUCAUUUUAUCAUUUGGUCAUGAACUCAGUGCAAAGCAAUUCAUAACUUAUGAAGAAGUCAAUUGUAAAGCAUAAUCCUUUGCAAUAGAGAAGGCCAUGAAGCAGUGCACUAAGGUCAGGUCAAUCAUGAGUACGAAAGUUGGAAGAAAGAAAAACUCAACUUUUAGAAUUUUUAGGCUUUACCAUCCUCUUCACCAGUUAGUUUGCUUGAGCCAAAGUGGGCAUAAGAUUUUUUUUUCCUUUGUAGCGUAACAUGAGAUUUAAUUCUGAUACAUUAUGAUCUCUCUCACUCUCUCUCUCUGUCUGUGUGCAGUUUCAGGAAUGGGUUAUGAGCACACAAAAUGAAGAGAGUGACAAAGAAAUUGAAGAAGAUUGAAAAGACUUGGCGAUAGAAUGUUCCAUGAAAAUUUGAUUUUUCCUUUGGGUUAGAGAACAUUUGGCCAUUUAAUUCCAAGUCAACAAUCUAUUCACCUCCUUUUGUGAGAACAAAGAGUGAGGAAAAAUAAAUGGGACAAAAGAGAGAAAUGUUUGUAGAAAAUGUCUGACAAAGUGGAGAUGAUGUCUAUCCUACUGAUGAAGGGCAGAGAUGCCCAAGGGUAUAAGUUUUUCAGUGGCCUACUUUGGGGUGACUAUCUUUCUUUGUUCAUUUUGUUGUAUGAUGAUUUGAUGUCUUUGCUUAUUUUGCUUUUGCAAAUCGACACGGUCUUAACGUUGUAUGUACAUAUUAUGAAUUCAAUCAUAUUUUGUAUUCAAAAAAAGGAUUGUGCAAUUUGGGAACUCUCUCUUCUUCAGAUUAUCUGCAGUUAGGAUUUUAUGGUUAUAAACAAGCCAGUUAAAUACCUUGAUUGUCUCUGGCAUUGGCAUUUUCCAGUUGAGUUUCCCAAACUGGGAAAAUGAUGCCGUCAUGACAGAAGAACAGAUAGCUUUCCUUCACCAUAUAGAUUCCUUUGGAGUUCCAUUUCCAUAUUACAGUGUCUGGUUCCUCACCUGUGAUGACUGUAAACAAAGUUGAGUGUUCUUCCGAUGCCCUAGCAUUUAGUUGUUCGUGACAAAAACUCUUGAGGUCACUAUGCAGCAUGAGCUCUCUUAGUGAAAUAAAUGUCUGGAUUGGAUGUCAACAGGAACAAGCUCGGGAAUUGAUACUUAGGAGGUUCAUUUAAAGCCCAGUUGUCAUGCCAAAAUGCAAUUUGCGUGCCAUCACCCAAUUUAAAGCUGAAACUUGAGCAGAAGACUGAUCUGACCUUUAAUACAUUUUUCCAAGCCAGUGACGCCAAGCGUAGAUUCUGUUGUGAGGUAAUUAUGGUCAACUUGGAUGAGUGAUGUAGUUUAAAAAUUACUCCAUGCACUAUCUUGAUCAGUAAAAUACCUCCACCACCUUUUCAAUCAGAGGCACUGAUUGAAAAGCUUCAAAUCCUUUACUCCAAGCCCCCCAAAUUGUUUAGGCCUGGAUACUUGUUCCCAGCACGCUAGGCAGUGCCCGCCUCUAUAUUGUUUGUCCUGCUUCACAAAAAUUCCCUUCUCUUUUUCUCAAUUCUUUCAAUUAUAUCUUGUGGAAAAAAGGAAGGAGAACAUCCAGUAUGUAGAAAUGCUACUUAAGACUGCAUUAACAAGGCAUAAUCGGCCUCCUAUUGACAGUUACUUUCCUUUUCAAGAUACUAACUUUCUGUCAAUCUUUUCAAGAAGGAAAUUCCAAUCAGAUUACCACUAGAUAGAGGGAAUCUCAGAUAGUUGAGUACAUCUCAGGAUGAUGCUUUUCUCAAAGUUGAUUCUCAGAUUUGUCAAUAGUUGUAACAACGCAGGACCUCACCCAAAAUGACUAGCCGGAAGGUAUUAUUUGGGCACGGGUCCUCAGAUACUCCCUCCGUUUGAACUUUGACGUUCUCGUUAGGCUAAUAGUUUAAAUCCAUUCAAAUCUAAUCACAAACAUCAUGAUCGGCCCAUGGUCAACCCCAAUGGAUCUGUGCUGCAGUGUCCCCUGGUCUACAUAGGUUAUGAGCUGGGUCCACUCUGAUACUAUUUGUCACAACCCAAAACUUCACCCAAAAUGGCUAGCCGGAAAAUAUUAUUUGGGUUCCUUGAUCCUAUAUAAAUAUCCAAGAUCUAUCCAGCGAAUAACCGAUGUGGGACUAAACACACAUCCUCAGGGGUCCUUAAAAUAGUUCAAAGGUAUAAAGGAGAAACUUGAGAUUUGAGAAAGUCUUCUUUGCGUCACAUAGAAUGAUAGUAUUGUCCGCAUAUUGUAAGUUGAGAUAGUUACCCAUAUCAACGAUCCUAUACCAACACCCAACCUAUUCUUUUGAGGAAGUUUUAGGAUUCCGUCCAACACAUCCGAGAUGAGCAUAAAUUAGAACAGUGAUAGAGGCUCCGCUUGUCUCAGACCUUUUUGAGCCAUAAGCCAACGUGUGGGUUCACCAUUGAUUAAAAGAGCAAGUUUGCUAGACUGAAGUAUAUUACUAAUCCAUGCACAUCACUGGUGUCCCAAUCUUCUAGCUUCAAGAAGGGAGAGAAGAAAGGACCAGUCAAUGUUAUCAAAUGCCUUUUCAGAGUCGAGUUUUAGCAUGAUACCUUUCAGUUUUUUUUUUUAGCAGCAAAUCGAGACUGGUUCCGCUGCACUCAAAUAGCAUUCAUUAAUUUGCCUGCCUUUGAUAAAUGCAAAUUAAGAAUUGGUGAUGAGUUCAAUCUAUCAACCUGAUACUUGACAUUUUUGAGAAGAUUUUCUGAACUCGAUUUAUUAAACUAAUGGGUCUAUAGUUCAAUCUAUCAACACCGAUGCUGCUGGAGUAUAUCUCAAAGAAGAAUCUACAGAUGUCCUCCUUGAUCAUGAGCCAUAAGUUCUGGUAAAUAGAAGCAGGGAAACCGUCAUUUAGAUCAAUUUCUUUUUCAGAGAAUGGCUAUUCAAGAUCAUUUAGAUCAAUCCGAUCAUCUCUGAGCAAGCUUACCAAUCUACCUUGACAGUUGUUUUCUUUGAGAUGCUAAAAAGUGCUUUCUUGAUUUCCGCUCUGAGAGAAUAUGAUCUUGAUGCUUGAUGAAAGAUAUAUUGUUUUUCCUUCUUCUGUUACAUGCACUCAGAUGGAAAAACUGUGUUCUUGUCUCCCAAUUUUAGCCAGUCAAGUCUUGAUCGUUGUCUCCAAAGUUUUUCCUCUUGGUUUAGAAUUACCUCAAACAGCUUGUUGACGUGUUGCCGUUCUAGUCUUUCUUCUGUUGAUAAGACCUGGUUCUCCUCUUACUUCAAUUACUACAUAUGUUUAUUGGUUUGUAUUGCCGAUUUGCAUCGUAAGAUUUAUAUCGAUUUGGCCUGUGAUGAUAUGCUUUUAUAUAAUUUUCAGUAUAGAUAUAUUUCUGUGGUUAUUAUAUAUAUCAGAUGUUGAGAACAUGAUUAUAUGAACAAAAAUACAUUGAAUUUAAGAGAAAUUCAUUGUAUAUGUGAUAAUUGCUUUGACAAAAGCAAUAACUAAAUGAGAAGGAUAAGAUAUGGUUUGGAUUAAUCUCGUUAUAGUGCCUAUAGGUUGACACAUGGGAAGCCUCCACGAGAAGCCACUACGGGCUAUAAUGCGGGUUGGAUAGCCACUAGGGGCUAUAACAUGGUCCGGACAGCUACCAAGAGCUAUAACAUUGGUCGGAUAACCACCACAAGCUUUAAUGUGAUACAGUAUUAGAUCUUGGUUAAUCCAAAGUCGGAAAGGAAAAUUGAUAAGAAAUCUAAAAAUCAAGUUAAUAAGAAACGGAUGACAUAACAUAAGAAAUUGUUGUUGAACAAUUGGUUAUAUAUGAAAUAUAUAUAUGUAUAUAUAUACUUGUUUGAAAACAUGAUAAUAGGAACUUAUGUACAUGUUGUUUAAGAGUUUUCUGACUAUUGAUAUGAUAUUCAAUUAUCUGGCAUUAUUAAUUGAUUAUUUUUUUAUUACUUAUGGUGAAGCGGUUCAGAAUUCUUACUGGGCUGUAAAACUCACAACCCCCUUGUUCUUUUUUUUUUCAAGAUUGCAGGUUGCAUGUUGCUUAGUACCUGGUUAUGGCUGCUUGGCUAUAAUUAAGAUCACAUGGAAAGGAAUGAACUAGUUGAAUAAUUAAAUUUUGUGAUUGAAUCAGUUUGGUUAUUUAGUAUGAAUUGAGAUCAUUAUUAUGUAGUGAUAUUGAGUUUGUGAUAAAUUUUCAAGCCUUGCAUAUUCUCUGGAGCUUUGCCCUAGUGUCGCAUUCCGGACCCGAGUGUUGGGUUGGGGGCAUAACAGAUUUAGCAUCAGAGCUUAAAGGUUUAAGACCGUUAGAGCGUGACACAUAUUCCAUGAUUUCAGUUUUGAGAGGAGAAAGCUAAGUUUGAUGACCAAGUUCUUUGCUAGAUCUUCCACAGAUGGAGCUGCAGACCACUAGCCCUUUACAAGGUCAUUAAAGCCAGGAAUAGACAGCCAAAAACCUUCAAAAUGAAUGGUCUUAUUACUGCUUUGUUUAGGACAGAACUUAUUACUGCUUUGUUUGGGAUAGAACUCGAGCGGUAAGAGGAAGUGAUCAAAAGUAGUCUUGAUAAAAGGAUGAGAUUGUGGAAAUAGCAAUAACCAUUCCAACGAAAGCAAGCAACGGCCUAAUUUUGCAAGAUUGGACCGAGUAAAGUUGAGGUGAUUAACAUAAUCUUGAUUAGUUGAUGGCUCUCGACGAAGUAGUUAAACUCUGCUGGUGUUAAUGAGUUAUUGAUGGGUCCUUUUCUCUCUUUUGAGUACCUAAUUGUAUCGAAAUCUCCUGCCAAUACCCAUGGUCCCGGCCACUUUUGUCUAACCAAUGAAAGCUCCUUAAAUAACUCGGGGCACUGUUGUUUUUUGUUUGGACCCAAAAACAUUGGUAAUCACACAUUGUUUUGUUUGCUGAGUGUAUGUUGUAAUGGAUUCAGCUGAGAGUGAAUGAACUUUCACAAAAUGAUGCACCUCCAAUUUUUGAGAAGUUUCAGCAGAUAGGCCCCACCGAAGGAGUCUUUUUCACUGUUAUUGCACUAAGUAUCGAGUUCUCUCCCACAGGAAGAACGAACAUGUUCCUUCGUAACUUCUUCAAGUUAGGUUUCUUGGAGACAGCAGAUCACACAUUUUGAUCGUUGGAUAUUGUAACGAACUAUUCUUCUUUUCGGGGCUUUUCCUAGUCUUCGUACAUUCUAAAAGAGUAGUGUCAUUGAUAGAAGAAUAAAACACCUAGGUGCAGUUCAGAGACUUUCUUGAGGAAGAAUGAUAGAACUGUUGGUUGUAUGUAUUGUGAAUUUGUAAAAUAAAUUAAGUAAUAAAUUGAUGAAUAAAUAAAUCUGACCUCAAAUGAAGAUUUAUCACAACUAUGUAAGAUCAAGGCUAGUGUUUGACACUAUGUCCUUUAGACAGAUUUCGCCCUCCACACAUGUGCUUUGGAUCUCUUGAGCAUCUGCCUCCCAGGAUACAAUGAUCUUCACAAACAAAAGGAGCACACCAAUUUGUUUGUACGGCGAACCAAAAACUGAGUUUUUGUACUCUCUUUGAAUGAACUUACUAAUGCUCUCUAAGAACUCUAGAAUGAGAGAACUAGAUGAAUUGGAAAAAUUCGGUGUCUUGAAUGGUUGGAGGAAGGCUCUAUUUAUAGAGUUCAUGGUGACUUUUUAGAAGAGACACCAGAGACAUGUCUUUUCUAUUCAAAUGAAUAGACACAUCCCUAUGAAUAGUCAUGUCAUUUAAAUGAAAAGAUGCAUCCAUACAAAGAUGCAAUGAAAAGAUGCAUCCAUUUAAAUAAAUAGAUGCAUCUCUUUUUAUGCAACUCUUUUGAAAAGACACACCUCUUCUAAGAAGCACCCUUUCAAGUGGGUCAUUUUGCAGCCUAUUUUCUUAUUCACCUAUUAUAGUCUAACAAUCCCCCACAUGAAUAGAAAAUUGGCUGAAUGCAUGUAAAUGAUAAUGCAGACACUUAAGAGAGUACAUUAUGAAAAGAUUCUGUAUCGAGAUAGGUAGCUUUUGGCCUUGAACCUUCCCUAAUGAAAGGCUAUCGGAUUUACUGGCUAAAUAGUGAACAAGAUGUCUUGAACUAUUCAGUUGAUUAAGUAAAUCGAAUCGAAUAGACUUCACACAGUCUCUUUUCUAACACAGUUAGUUCUCAUGAUUGUGUUCAUUUUGACCCUGAACAACUCCUGGUAUUCAUGAGUGCUCUAGAGAAUUCAACCUUAUAAAAAUUAUCAUAGAAGCGGCCCCUUCACACUCAUAUAGGUGACUCUUAUUAGGAAUAUCCUGCUAUAUUCCACUUGGAUUUUUAAGAUAUAAGAGUUCAUUAAAAGCGAAGCUUACCCUUAUAAACGCUGCAGGCAGCACUAGUUAAUCUUAGAAAUAGGUUGGAGAUUUUGUCUCCCUAGUGCUUAUGUUAAGCCACACAUAAUUCGGUUGUCUCUUUGAACCUAGAUCUUGGGAUCUCCAGUCAACUAGGUUGGGUUGCCAUUAUGAUGACUCUUUAAUUAUAAGCUUUAAUCCUAUCCUCUCGAUGUGCAAUUUACUUGCUCUCUAGUUAAACCUUUAGUAAGUGGAUCCGCAAGAUUCUCUUUAGACUUUAUACAGUCUAUCAAUAUAAUUCCAUUUGAGAGCAAUUACCUUAUGGUACUAUAUCUUUGACGGAUAUGUCGAGAUUUACCAUUAUACAUAUUACUCUGUGCCCUUCCUAUUGCUGAUUGGCUAUCACAAUGUAUACAUAUUGCUAGCACAGGUUUUGGCCAUAUUGGAAUAUCCUCUAGAAAAUGUCGAAGCCACUCUGCUUCUUCUCCUGCUUUAUCUAAAGCAAUAAAUUCAGAUUCCAUUGUGGAUCUUGCAAUACAUGUUUGCUUAGAGGAUUUCCAAGACACGGCACCACCACCAAGUGUAAAUGCAUAACCACUUGUGGAUUUUGUAUCUUUGGUAUCAGAUAUCCAGUUUGCAUCACUGUAUCCCUCAAGUACAGUUGCAUAUCUUGUAUAGUGCAAACCAAAGUUUAGAGUGUAUCUCAAAUAUCUAAGCACUAAUAAUUGCCUUCCAAUGAUCAACUCCAGGAUUACUCGUAUAUCUACUUAAUUUGCUAACUGAGUAUGCUAUAUCGGGUCUAGUGCAAUUCAUGACAUACAUUAGACUACCAAUUAUACGAGAGUAUUCCACUUGAGAAAUGCACUCUCCAGUAUUUUUGGCUAAAUGAAGGUUUAUGCUAACAGAUGUUCUAGCUACAUUGUUAUCUUCUUUGUUGAACUUUUUAAGUAUUUUCUCAAUGUAGUGAGAUUGAGAUAAUACAAGUCCAUCAGAUGUUUUAGAAAUCUUAAUUCCUAAUAUAACAUCUGCAAUACCUAAGUCCUUCAUGUCAAACUUACUGGAUAGCAUUCUUUUGGUAGUUUUAAUGAUUUCAUUAUUACUAGCCAGAAUGAUCAUAUCAUCCACAUAGAGGCAAAUAAUGACAUAGGCUUGGCUAUCAUUUUUGACAUAAACAUAUUUAUCACAUUCAUUGAUUUUAAAUCCAUUUGUGAUCAUGUGCUUGUCAAAUUUCUCAUGCCAUUGCUUCGGUGCUUGUUUUAAUCCAUACAGGGAUUUAAUAAGUUUGCACACUUUCUUCUCUUGUCCUAGAACAAUGGUACCUUCAGGUUGUUCCAUAUAAAUCUCCUCAUUUAAAUCACCAUUUAGGAAAGCUGUUUUAACAUUCAUUUGAUGUAUUUUAAGGUUAUACAAUGCUGCAAUAGCAAUUAGCAUACGAAUGGAUGUUAUUCUCGUAACAGGCGAGUAGGUAUCGAAAUAAUCAAUACCUUUCUUUUGCUUGUAACCCUUUGCCACAAGUCUAGCCUUGUAUUUAUCAAUUGAUCCAUUAGCUUUCAUUUUUCUCUUGAAAAUCCAUUUACUACCCAAAGGUUUACUUCCAGGUGGAAGAUCUACCAAUUCCCAGGUGUGAUUUUGCAUAAUGGAUUCAAUUUCACUAUUAACAGUUUCUUUCCAAAAGGUGCUUCAGGAGUGGACAUCGCUUUCUUGAAGCUUUGAGGCUCAUUUUCUAAUAAAUAUGUUAGAAAAUCAGGACAAAAUGACUUUGCAGUCUUUGCCCUCUUACUGCGUCUAAUUUUAUUGCCUCUUUCUUUUUCAAUGGACUCAUGAUCCAUAUCACUAGUUGCAACAUCAUAAGUUCUUUUACGAGAACUUGUAUCACUUGUAUUUUUGCAUGGAAAAAUAUUCUCAAAAAAUAAUGCAUUUCUAGAUUCAAUAAUUGUAUUGACAUGUAUUUCAGAAAUAUUAGAUUUAUGCACAAGAAAUCUAUAAGCACUACUAUUAUUUGCAUAUCCAAUAAAUAUGCAAUCAAUAGUUUUAGGUCCUAUUUUGCUCUUUUUGGGAGUAGGAAUCAAUACCUUAGCCAAACACCCCCACACUUUUAAAUAUUUGUAGGAAGGUCUUCUACUUUUCCAUGCUUCAUAAGAGAUUUUAUUUGUUUUCUUAUGGGGUAACUUGUUAAGUAUGUAAUUUGCAGAAAGCAAAGCUUCCCCCCACAAGUUUUGAGGUAAUCCUGAACUUAUCAACAUAGCAUUUAUCAUCUCUUUUAGAGUUCUUUUCUUUCUUUCAGCAACACCGUUUUGCUGAGGUGAAUAAGGCGCAGUAGUUUGGUGAAUAAUGCCAUAAUCUUGACAGAACUUAUUAAGCGGUGCAUCAUAUUCACCACCUCUAUCACUUCUAAUUGCCUUAAUUCUUUUGCUAAGUUGAUUUUCAACUUCAUCCUUGUAUUGGACAAACAUAUCUAAUGCCUCAUCUUUGCUUCUAAGUAAAUACACAUAGCAAUACCUUGUGCAAUCAUCAAUAAAAGUAAUGAAAUACUUUUUUCCUCCUCUAGUUUGAACAUUUUUCAAAUCACAUAUGUCAGUAUGUAUCAAUUCUAAAGGUUCAGUACUUCUUUCAAUUGAAUGAAAAGAGCGUAUUGUUAGUUUUGAUUCUAUACAAGUCUCACAUUUAUUACUAGUAUCAAUAUCAAAUUUAGGCAAUAAAUCUAAACUUACCAAUCUACGCAUAGUAUCCAAAUUAACAUGUCCUAAUCUACUAUGCCACACAUUUGAGGACUCAAUAAUAUAAGAAGAAGAUAAAUUCUUAUUAUUAAUAGAUAGUACAAUAGUCAUUACAUUCAUCUUAAAGAGCUCUUUGCUCACGUACCCUUUGCCUAAAUAAAUCCCACCUUUUGUGAGUACAAAUUUGUCAGACUCAAAAACCAACUUAAAACCAUUUUUGAUCAACAAUGACCCAGACACGAGGUUCUUUCUAAUAUCAGGCAUGUGUAGCACUUCGUUUAGAGUAAGUUCUUUUUCCAAAGUCAUCUUCAAUAUAACCUUGUCUUUGCCUUCAACUUUUGAAGUAGCAGAAUUACCCAUGAACAGAUUUUCACCACUAACUGUUUCAUAGGAGGUGAACAUGUUCUUGUCAGAACAUAUGUGUCGAGUAGCCCCAGUGUCUACCCACCAUGUCUUGGUAUUGAAAACCAAAUUUGCUUCAGAUAUGACAGCAGAAAAACUCAAUUCUGCAACAUUCGAAGCUAGCUUAUCCACCUCGGUUAUAUUAGCUUGUGGAGACUUUUUCUUGAAAUUCUCGUGUGCCUUUUGGUNNNNNNNNNNNNNNNNNNNNCAGAUAUGACAGCAGAAAAACUCAAUUCUGCAACAUUCGAAGCUAGCUUAUCCACCUCGGUUAUAUUAGCUUGUGGAGACUUUUUCUUGAAAUUCUCGUGUGCCUUUUGGUGGCGACAAUCCUUAGCACGAUAGCCGGGUUUGUUGCACACAUAGCAAUUUCCCUUGAACCUCUUUCUGUUGCCACUCUUGGUAUCUUGUUGAUCAUUAUUCUUUCUUUUCCUUUUGUUGGUCUUUUGUCCCUCUUCCCAUAUAAGCCUUGGACUCCAUGAAAUGGUUUCCAACUUUUUUCUCAGAAUUUCAAUUGUCUUCUUCAAUUCUCAAUCUAACAAUCAAGUCUUCAAGUUUCAUCUCCUUGCACUUAUGCUUGAGAUAAUUUUUGAAAUCCUUCCAAAGUGGUCGUAAUUUUUCAAUAAUUGCAGCCACUUGAAAAGACUCACUUAGUAUCAUCCCUUCAACAUGAAUGUCAUAGAUGAUCACUUGGAGAUCUUGAACUUGACUUAUGACAUCCUUGGAGUCGACCAUUUUGUAGUCUAAGAAUUUGCCCACAAUGAACUUUUUUGUUCCAACAUCUUCCGUUUUGUACUUCUUGUCCACGGAUUUCCAUAGUUCCUUUGCCGACUUGAGAGGACUAUGCACAUUAUAUAAUGUGUUGUCCAAUCCAUUGAGAAUGUAGUUCUUGCAUAGAAAGUCAGAAUGCUUCCAUGCUUCUACAACAGCUAUAGUUUGAGCAUACUCUUCACCCUCGGCAAGAAUAGGAACCUCUUCACGAAGAACCUUCACAAGAUUCAAUGUAGUGAGAUAGAACAACAUUUUUUGUUACCAUCUCUUGAAAUCGUUCCCAUUAAACUUUUCGGGCUUCUCUCCAUGGCUCAUAUGUGAGGCAAUGGGAAUGGCGGUAGGCACCAUAUUACUUGAACUUAAAGCCAUCUCUAAUUACUAAAUAAAUGAAUAAUCUCAAAUUAGAAUGAGUAAUAUCAAAAUUUAGUUUGUCAAGUUAAUGCAAACCAACAAUGAACAAAUUUUGCAAACAAAAUUAUAAAGUGUAUAUAUAAAACUAUUUGCAAAAAAUUAAAUAAAUACAAAAUCACAAUAUACACAAUAUAAAAAGUGAAAAUCUGUCUUAAGAUUGUUGGUUGUAUGUAUUGUGAAUUUGUAAAAUAAAUUAAGUAAUAAAUCGAUGAAUAAAUAAAUCUGACCUCAAAUGAAGAUUUAUCACAACUAUGUAAGAUCAAAGCUAGUGUUUGACACUAUGUCCUUAAGACAGAUUUGGCCCUCCACAUAGGUGCUUUGGAUCUCUUGAGCGUCUGCCUCCCAAGAUACAAUGAUCUUCACAAACAAAAGGAGCACACCAAUUUGUUUGUACGGCGAACCAAAAACUGAGUUUUUGUACUCUCUUUGAAUAAACUUACUAAUGCUCUCUAAGAACUCUAGAAUGAGAGAACUAGAUGAAUUGGAAAAAUUCGGUGUCUUGAAUGGUUGGAGGAAAGCUCUAUUUAUAGAGUUCAUGGUGACUUUUUAGAAGAGACACCAAGUGAAGAGACAUGUCUUUUUUAUUCAAAUGAAUAGACACAUCCCUAUGAAUAGUCAUGUCAUUUAAAUGAAAAGAUGCAAUGAAAAGAUGCAUCCAUUUAAAUGAAUAGAUGCAUCUCUUUUUAUGCAACUCUUUUGAAAAGACACACCUCUUCUAAGAAGCACCCUUUCAAGUGGGUCAUUUUGUAACCUAUUUUCUCAUUCACCUAUUAUAGUCUAACAAGAACACCUAGGUGCAGUUCAGAGACUUUCUUGAGGAAAAAACCAACUUCAAGAAGAAUAAACCUCACCUUCAUUUCUUUAUAAGAAUCAAAGUGCUGGCUUCAAUAAAACUCAUUGUUUGAUAAUUUGCGUCAAAAAAUGAAUAAUCUCAGACGUUGAAGAUGAGCUUGAGCUUCCACAUCAAGUAGGUUGAUGGCAUCACAAGGGCAAGUAGAACUAGGAGUUAUUUUCCAUCAAGACCUCUAGAGCACCACUAAUGGUUGUUUGUGUCAAACUGCUUGUAAAACUUUUCAUCUGUAGUCGUCCUGCUGACAUCUUGUAAUCCAACAAAUUCUUUCCUUUCUUCUUGUUUUAUAAGAUUUUUUCUAAAGCAUCCAACAAGCAUAUGCCAACACUGGUUUCCUACAUCCUAUAACCAAGAUGUUCUCCAUUUUCUUACAUUCCAUAAGGCUCAUAAACAUUUUGUUUCAUUGGUACUACUUGAAUUUUUAACUAUUUGGAGAUGUCUGCCCAAGCUUCCUUGCAUAGAUAUGUUCUCCCAAGUGCGUUGAUCUGAAUAAUUUUCUAGUUAUUACUUUCAAAUUGUUGAUGGUGCCUAUGGGGGCCAUUUCUUGAGCUUUCGCGUUCAGUUUGGAUGCUGGUAUUCUAAUAAAAAUGAUCUGUAAAAUCAACCCAAUUUGAUUCGUUUGGCCCAAACUAGACAUAAAUGAAAUUCCAGUCCUUCUAACCUAGUCUAAGAAUACCUAACAGAACCAUUUCUAAUGGAUAAAAUUCACACAAGUUAGACUCAGCCUGUAAUAUUGUACUAUGAACUUUAUACAUGUUAGGCCUGAGCCUAGCUUCUUGACCCAUCCCAAAAAUUAUCUGAAACAAAAGUAUAUUACUAAGGUAUCUACAACAUUUUAUGAAAAAAGAAAGGUAUCUAGAACAUUGAUAAUUGGUGUCAAACAAAAAAGGCUAACUCAAGCCAUUAUUCUCUGCAACUUUAUAAUAACUAGCAACCAUGGUGUCCAAGAGAAGUCACAAAAAUGACCAUCCACUCAGAUACAUAAGCCAACAAAAUUAAGGACGAGUUUUCAAGCUCUUCCUCAUCCAUUUCAGGGAACUUUGCCUUUGUUUCAUGCGAAAUCAAAGAAUUCUGACAUAGAGGGCAUGUCGACCUCUGGUGCUCGAGCCAUUGAUUGAAGCAACUUCUAUGGAAGAGAUGCCUGCAUCUUAGUUCUAUUAUCUCUUCACCUUCCUCGAUAUCAGACAGGCAGAAGAUACACUCUACUUGUUCAUUUGAUCCUGCUGAUUGACACUUGUAUUGAGCAAUACCAAGUUUUAUAACACAUAAGGGCAAUGCCUGAUCCAAAGUUGUAGCAUGGCUGGAAGGUUCAAGACGUCGACUGAUAAAUGGAUAGCCCGAAUGCCUCAUGGAAUUGGCUCUUUCUUGGAGAUGGAUGAACUUCAUGAUGAGUAGGAGAAUGGCAAAAAUGAUGAGCACUAGCAUGCUCAAACAAGAUAGUAGGAUGGUGAACAUGAAUAGAAAUAUCAUCAAGUUUGCUAAUUCCAUAUUUGUAGGACCCAAAAGAGGGAGGACGGUAUCAUGUAGGAGGCUGCUGUAGGCCCCGUCAAAGAUGUCCCAUUAAUGCAGCAACCACUCUUGGUUUAUCCACUUCGUAUGAUGGAUGGCAAAGUUGUUGACAUGGAUAUCUUGGACAUACAAAAGAGUCCCACAUCCGAAUACCAACCCACCUUUCUUCAUUAAUGUCAUCCGUUGCAUCUUGGAAGAAGUCACACAACGUAGCUCUACAAUUAAUUGGGUCAAUGCAUGUGAAAGCCAUAUGAGCAUAUUACUCUAAAGUCAGACAACAUAAAUGGCUAUUGUCCACAUUUUGGACAUAGAGUUCAGAUCCUCUGCAGUGCAACUUUUGCACCGUAGAGUGCGGUACUUUUGCGGAUUGUCGCCACAUCAUCCAUCUUGGAGAUGGAUGACUCUCAAGAAAUAGGACGAGGCAUCGUUAGUAUUAUACGCAGCACAUCGUGGUGAUGAAGAUAUUAUUCUCUGAACCAAAAGCAUGAUAGACAUUGCAUGCGUGCAGGCGAACCAUACAAGCAUGCAAGGUUAUUGAUUAAGUCAUAAUAACUUUAGAGCAAUAAUAAUAAUUCUUCAAUCCUCAAAUAUUAAUUUAGGAAGGAUCCAAUCAAAUCAUUCUCAUAAACAAAUAUCAUAAAAUAACAAGAGUCAUAAUGUUUCAACCAAUUAUUAUCCUCCAAAUAAAAAAUUAAUAUCUAAAACUAAAUUAAACAAAGCUAAACUAACUAAACUAGAAGUUUGGAUGAUACAAAUAUCUCAAAGCAAUCUAGUGCACUCCCUAAGUUUCAAACAAUUAUGAUUCAGAAUUUAAAAAUAGAAGAAGGAAGAAUAAUGAGCUACACUAACCUAGUAAGCAAUAUAACACAUCAAAGUGGUGUCUAAACAUGCCAAAUAAAUAUAUAAUCAAAUAGCAACCCAAAACAUAAUAUUGACUAGGAAGAAAUCAAAUCUUGAAGAAUACACAAUUUUUUUUUUCAAAAUUUAUUCUUCAUAAACUGAUAUUAGACCCAAUAUCAAGCAAUGGUCAUGUAACCUAAUAGCAUCCUCUAAAAAAAAAUAAUAUCCAAAACUAAAUUAAACUAAGCUAAACUAAACUAAACUAGAAGUUCAUAUGAUACAAAUAUCUCAAAGCAAUCUAGUGCACUCUCUCAAGUUUCAAAUAGUUAUGAUUCAGAAUCUAAAAAUAUAAGAAAAAAUAAUAAUAAGCUACACAAGCCUAAUAAGCAAUAUAACACAUCAAAGUGGUGUCUAAGCAUGCCAAAUAAAUAAAAAAUCAGAUAGCAAUCCAAAAUAUAAUAUUGACUAGGAAGAAAUUAAAUCUUGAAGAAUACAUAAUUUUUUUCAAAAUUUAUUGUUCAUAAAUUGAUAUUAGACCCAACAUUAGGCUAUGGUCACGUAACCUAAUUGCAUGGAUUAGACAACAAAUACAGGAUACACCCAAUGCUAGAUAAUAGAUAACAGAUACUACUAUUCUAAUCAUUGAUGGCUUGGUGUCGAAACUAAUUUCUCAUAUUAAAAGUUGACAGGGCCGACAUAUAAUUCCUAUUGGCAUGGCCAGAUUGCCGAGCAUACAUAGACAUAGAAAUAAUUUCAUAAAUCACCCAGUCAACUUUUCAAAUCCGAUGCUUAGAAUAGAUUAGGUGCUAAAAAAUAAAUCAUUUAUAAAAGUACCAAAUAUAUACCAUAUUCUUGUUUCAUUUUCAAAAACAAAACAACCCAUUUUAUCAAAAAAGAAAGCAUAGAUUAUAAAACAAAUUUAAUGAACUAUUUGUAAUUUUCACGUAGUCAUUUCUUACAAUAAAUUUUGAAGGAAAACACUAUGAAGUGUUAAGUUACUUACCUCUUCGCACUUCAGAUUUUCACUUCAACUAAAUAUGUAAGCUUUACCUAUUCUAAUUAAUUUUUAUCAUCAUCUUAGAGGCCCAACAAAUAAGAAACCCUGAAAAAUCCAAAUAGGUUAAAAUUGGGGUAUUGCUGAGGAUAUGGCUUUAUGCCUAAACUAAGAUGGAGGAAUGGUGGGAUUGACUAAGCAAGGGUGUCUGAUGGCUUAGGUCAGUCUAAUCAAAAUAACUAAAUCAGAUUUAGGGACCAGGCUUAGAUACUAGCUUAAUAAGGACCAAAUCCUAUGGUAUUACAUAGAGAACAAAAAAGAGACUAGCACGCUAUCCAACUACCAAGGCAGUUCAAGGCCCAUCUACUAGGGUGGACCAAGGUCACAAAGAUGGUCUCUCUGUUAGGUUCCCGGACCAGGUAGAGAGAGAAAAAGGUAGCUAGAGAGAGAGAGAAAGGGGUUUUAGGUGUUGGAUAAUAGUGAUCGGAGGGGUUUUAGGUGCUGGAUAAUAGUGAUCGGAGGCCAAGAUCGGCGGCCACAAUGGACAAUAGAAUUAGGCUGAUAGCUAGCAACAAAAGACUGAACAAAGAAAGCUAGAAUAAGAAUCACAACAGGGCAUAAUAAGAGUAUUUGAUUGGUAAUUAGAAGAAGGGGCAUCCUAAGGUAGAGAGAGGCAAGUGGUGGCCGGAGGACCGACAAUAGGUGUCGGGUGGUGGCAUUUGAGAUCAUAGUCGGCAUGUGGUCAGAAGCGAAGAAGAGAAGCAGAAUAAGGUCAAAUCACAUCCUCUCUUUUUUUAGUAGAAAUUAGAGAGGAACAAAAAGAGAGAUAAAAUGAGAGAUAAGAAUAGAGAAGAAGACAGGAGGAAGAAGAAGAAGAAGAGAAGGACUGUGGCUAGUGGCCUAGGUGGUGACCAAUAGUCAGAGGGCCGCCGAUAGGGGGCCACCGGCGACAGUGACAAGGCAGUGAGAGAUUAAAGUAAAAAAGAGGAAAAAGCAAGGGUUUUGGACCUAUUCAUAGAUUACAGGAGGCUAGGCUCCAGCGACGACCAUGAACUGACAAGGGGGAGUGAUCACAAUCUCUGGCGACAAACACCAGUGGUGAGGAUGGCUAGAAAAAGAAGCAAAAGAAAGAAAACAAGGACAAAACUCAAUCCAAAAAUAGGGGAACCAACCAAGCAUCCCCUUCUCGAUAAAAUCUGGCAAUUUUGCAGGAGAAACCAUGAUGUAAAAACUAGAAAAUAUUUUAAAAAAGAUGAACUAAAGGUUUAGAGGGUUAAUACCUUAUCCUGGUGCUGUUCGGUCUCGGCGAUGGCAAACAACAUUAGGGAUGAAUGAAGAGGCAAUGCUAGCGAAUCUCUAACUCAAGACUCAGGUUUUCGAUAGGGGAUCGAAGGAAAAAUGGGACGGGAAUUAGAUAGGAAGGAGGGAGGUACCAAAAUCCCUCUUUCCGUUGGACUCCCUUUGGCAAAUUCUAGAAGAAGGCAACUCCCAAGUUUGCCUCCUUCACAACACGUGCGACGUAUGUACAUCUUAUACUCCUCACCUUAGCACGUUCCGAGCAUGUGCUAGGAAAAAAUCAAUAUUUUCUUUUUUUUGUUGUUGUUGUUUUGGGCUGGAUUAUGCUUCAACAUUGGUCAGUUGGACUAGGCCUAGUUCACUAAAAGGUCGGGUAUUACAUACUUCCUCCCUAGAAAUUUUGAGAAGUUCUUAUCUGUGCUUUCAAAAGGCUGGGUAUUCAUAGUUCUGGUCUCAUCCAUAAAGCACUAGAUAUUCUAAUUAUCAAUGCAGUUCCAUCAUUAAAUCGUAUCAUAAAGAAAAGGUCCAAGACCUCAAGACUUGAUGCUUCUUGUUGAUAAUCUAAAUUAGAUAUACCUCAUCUGUUAUAAAUGAAAUCCACUUCUUAAUUUCAAAUAAGAAUGCCAAGUUUCAAAGACAUCAGUUGCUCUUAAAUAAUUGAUCUAUCACAGGAAUAUAAACAACUCCGAUCUAUUCUCAAUAGAAGAACAUUUGUGCAGAGAAUAUUUUCCAAGAUUGAAAAAUAAUCUCAAAUUCUUUCAAAUAGAUAGAGGAAUAUAAGCUUUAGAUCAAGAACUGAUGAUCCACUAACCCAAGCCUAAAGAUGCAAAAAAUUCCUUAACAUAAUAUAAGAUAGGAGCCUACUUGUGAAAAUUGUACAACAACAUCCAAAUUAGCCAAGAAUCAAAAAUGUUGCCCUUUCUUUUAUCAAUAAAAUUCUCUAUAAGAAAAAUCAAAUUAGGUCAUCCAUAUAAACUCUCCAAAUCAAAGAGUUAAUAUUACUGAUCAGCUAAAAAAUAAUUCGAACCACCACAAUUUUGCUAUGCACUUUGAUUUUAAACCACCAAAAUUAUCUAGAUUACAAAAUAAUUUUCAACCAAAGUACAACUCUAUAUUAUAAACUAAAAGCAUCCAAAACUUCAAAUUCUAGGUAAAGCUAAAGAGGAACUUUUGAAUCUCAUCUCCGAUGUACCUCGAGCAUACCCAUCUUGACUUACCCUUGAGUCAAUUGCCACAUGCAAAAUCAUCAUAUGAGCUAGUUACUUCAACCUAGAUAUGAGUUAAAUAUUAAUUCUCAUGUAAGCUCAAUUAGACAAUUCUGAAUCAAACUCCAACAAAAGAAAUCGAUUAGAAAAAUUUAUCGAUGCUUCACCAAGUUAGAAAUCUCUAAAUCCAUAUAUAUAUGUGUUGGGGGAAAAAUAUAAAUCGUCACGCUUGCAUGAACAUCCGAGCAGACCCCCUCCGACCUGGAGGCGACCGAGCAGAUCCUUCGACCAGGAGACCCGGAGGCGCCCGAAUGGCCUCUCCGACCCGGAGGCGCCCGAGUGGCCUCUCCGACCUGGAAGCGUCCGAGCGGACCCUCCGACCUAGAGGUGCCCGAGUGGCCUCUCCGACCUGGAAGCGUCCGAGCAGCCCUACCGACCCAAAGACGCCCGACUCGCGCGCUGUGGUCACAUCCCUCCGCAGCGCGACCGAAAAACUACGCCUUGCCUUCGUCAACAAUCAAUGCGUAUGGCCCCUACAGGCACUCAGCUUACUCAACAAUUAAAGUAUAUGGCUUCUGUUGUCUACGGACAUCAAGCCCCCUACGGCAAAUCUGCUUGGCUACGAAUGAUGGCAUGACUCCACGAUGAUUUGAGAGCUUCGGCCUAAUCUCCUACAAUAACAGCAUUGAUUCACACGAUCGAGUAUUAAUUUCUACUGCAUGCCCAAUCGUACGACAGACCGUUUGCCCCGUCACAUCACAGGUAACCCAGCCCCCCUCUAUAAAAGGAGAACUUCUCCAUUUUAAAGGGGGCUGGGAGAUGGAAACUCUAAAUAUUCACUACUCCUCCCGUUCAUACACUUGCCCCCUCUGACUUAAGCAUCAGAGGGCCGGUGCCGGAAACCCCGGCCACCGGCUUCUUGCAGGUCUCCCGGAGGACGUCGCGCGCCGCCAGACCGCCGCUCGCCGAUUCUAACCGGAGCUCCUCCUUCCUAGCCCAGUGGUCGCCCCCGGGUCUAAAUUCCAGCAACAGUUGAUGCUAGAGGAAGGGCCCGAGUCGCGGCCAUGAAGCUGAGAAGCAAAGGAGCUUCUAAUGCCUUCCGACGUCUUCCACCUAGCCCUGAACACUCUGUCCAGAACUCACCACCUCCGGCCGAUUCGACUCCUCAAGUUCGGCCGGAACAGUUUGAUGCCCUGGUGCAGCAGGUUCAGGUCUUAGCUGCUGCUGUCCAAAGCCUGCAAGCUAUGGGCAUCCCGACAGCACCGUUUCCUCAGGCCCCGGUCCAACUGGUAACCCCUUCAAGUAGAUCGGCCCCCCAAGGCCGAGAUCUCCACGCCUCUUCAAAGGCCAACGGUGAGGAGCGGUGCCGCUGCCAGGGUUCAGCCCGAGCAUCCUCCUGGAGAGAACCCCAGUGAGGGGUCCAGGCGACUGGCCGCAACCGUCAGAGGUCGAGUCAGUCCCAGGGCAACCUACGCCCGAGCAGACCACCGUGGCGAUCCCCCAGAGCGACGAACUUAACAAGAAAGUCGAGAAGCUGGAGCGCCAUAUCGAGGCGCUCCACGACAGGAGGGUGAGACGCGAGGGUGACUUCGAGUUUACCACGAAGUCCCCUUUCUCCCAAAGAAUCGAGGAUGAGCCGGUCCCGCCGAGGUUCAAGAUGCCCUAGGUGGAGCCCUACAACGGCAUGACCGACCCCCUCGAUCACCUGGAGAGUUACCGGGCCUUGAUGGCACUGCAAGGAUCCUCGGAGGCCAUGCUCUGCAAGGCCUUCCUAGCAACGCUUCGAGGAGCAGCUCGGCUUUGGUUCACCGGGCUGAAACCUAGCACAGUCUCCUCUUUCAAGCAGCUCGGCAGGCAGUUUGCUGCCAACUUUGCUGCCAGCCGACCCCAGCGGCGGACUUCAGACUCCCUCCUCGACAUAAAGCAAAGGGAGGGAGAGUCGCUCAGGGAAUAUCUGGACCGUUUCACUGCCGCAACUUGGGAGGUCCGCGAGCUUGACCAGUCAAUAGCCAUAUCGGCACUCAAGACUGGAGCUCGGUCUUAUAGGUUUCUCUUCUCUAUCGAGAAGAAUUUUCCAGCUGACUUCAACGAGAUGCUAGUUCGGGCACGGAAGUACGCAAAAGCCGAGGAAGCCGUUGCUUCUAGACGGGGUGGGGCCGAGCAGACCUCCAAAAAGCAAAAGAGGCGUCAUGAGGAGCGCGGCCGUCCCAGAAGCCCGUCUCCGCGCCGAGCUAAGAACCCGCCUCAUCUGAAGAGUCCACCCCGGCUGCGGGGACCGCUCCGACCAAGGUCCCCACCUCAUCCGAGAUCUCCACCGCGGUCCCGCAUACCCAACGGGAGGUACGAAAAUUACACUCCCCUUAAUGCUCCUCGGACUGAGAUCCUCAUGGAGAUCGAGGGUCGGGAUUAUUUUCGGCCUCCACCCCCGAUGCGGGAUCCCGGAGCUUGGCGCAAUCCCAAAAAGUACUGCCGCUUCCAUCGGGACCACGGCCAUGAUACGGAGGACUGCUUCCAGCUCUGAGAUGAGAUCGAGGCACUCAUCCGCCGAGGAGUGCUCAACCGGUUCGUGCGCAACCGGUGUGAAGAGAAAAGACCAGUGGAGGACGCCGUGCAGCAUGGAGAGCCGAAUGCUAAUAAACCCAUCGCUGGCACUAUCAACACCAUAGAUAAGGGGGGCCCAGCCGGAGAACUAGCUGCAAAAAGGCUUCUUCCAAAGUGCCCCCGCACCUCUGAAGUCAUCUCUUUCUCGAAUGAGGACCUGGAGGGAGUUGAAACUCCCCACGAUGAUGCUGUGGUCAUCUCUAUGGUCGUAAACAAAUUUGAUGUAAAAUGCAUCCUAGUGGAUAAUGGAAGUUCGGCGAAUAUUUUGUACUUUGAUGCCUAUUCUAGAAUGGGGAUGACAGAAAAGCAGUUAAGGAGGAUGAAUGCCCCACUGGUCGGAUUUACUGGAGACUCGGUUCCAGUGGAGGGCGAGGUUGAUCUCCUUGUUACGGUCGGACUCGCCCUCCGAGAGAGUACCGUGAGGAUGGAUUUCCUCGUGGUGCGCUUGCCCUCGGCCUAUAACGCCAUCCUCGGACGACCAGGGCUCAACGCUCUUCGAGCCGUGGUCUCAACCUGCCACCUACUUAUGUGGUUCCCCACCAGCCAAGGAGUCGGCGAAGUCCGUGGGGACCAGGCGGUAGCAAGGCGAUGCUACAUGGCGACCCACGAGGCGAAGCAACCGGCCAAGGUGUCAACUUCGACACCAGAUGACAAGCUCUCAGCUGAAACUUUAGAGACACGGGUCGGCCCUCAGAAAAAGCGGGUAGAGCCUGGUGAGCUACUCACCCGAAUUUCCUUACGAGAAAAUUAUCCCGAGCUAACCGUGCAGGUCGGCUCCGGCCAUGAUGCUCGCAAGAGAGGUCGCCUUGUCAGCUCUUGCGGGCCAACAUGGACAUCUUCGCCUGGUCGUCCGCUGAUAUGUCGAGGAUAGAUCCGGAGGUCACGGUCCACCGACUCCAAGUGAAGCCGACCUGCAAGCCCGUGCGGCAAAAGAAACGAAGUGCCACCCCGAAACAACAAUGAGCAGUGGCCGAGAAAGUCGACAAACUCCUCAAGGUCGGCUUCAUCCGGAAGAUAUCCUAUCCGGAGUGGCUCGCCAAUGUGGUCCUUGUCCGAAAAGCUAGCAGAAAAUGGCGCAUAUGCGUGGACUACACCGACCUGAACAAGGCCUGCCCGAAGGACAGCUUUCCACUCCCUAGUAUCGACCAGCUCGUGGACUCCACCUCGGGACAUGAGUUGCUGACAUUCAUGGACGCCUUCUCAAGGUACAACCAUAUCCAGAUGGCACCGGAGGAUGAAGAAAAGACGGCCUUCAUUACUAACGGGGGCACCUAUUGCUACAAAGUGAUGCCUUUCGGCUUAAAGAAUGCUGGAGCAACUUAUCAAAGGCUGGUCAGCCAAAUCUUUAAAGACCAAAUAGGCCUAAACAUGGAGGUCUAUAUCGAUGACAUGUUGGUGAAGAGCCGAAUGGCGAAGGAUCAUGUGGCUGACCUCGACGAAGCAUUCUCCACGCUUCGAAGGUACCGGAUGAAGCUCAAUCCUGCAAAAUGUGCAUUCGGAAUCACCUCGGACAAGUUUCUUGGCAUCGUGAUUACCCAACGGGGAAUUGAAGCCAAUCCCGAGAAGAUCCGAGCGCUCCAAAAGAUGGUGCCCCCGAGGACAGUUAAAGAGGUACAGCGGCUCACGGGAUGGGUUGCAGCUCUCGAAAGAUUUGUUUCUCGGUCGGCCGAGCGCUGUCUCCCGUUCUUCGCAGCUCUCAAGCGGACGAAGAACUUCUUGUGGUCGGCAGAAUGCCAGCAAGCCUUUGAAGAGCUUAAGCAUUUUCUCGCUUCUCCUCCUUUGCUCACGAAGCCUCAGCAGGGUGAGCUCAUUUAUCUGUACCUGGCUGUUUUUCCAAUUGCAGUAAGCUCGGUCCUGGUCCGAGAGGAGAACAAACUUCAGAGACCGGUAUACUACACUAGCCGGGUCUUAAGGGAUGCUGAGACCCGAUACUACAAACUGGAAAAGACCAUCUUUGCCCUGGUCGUCUCAGCACGGAGACUCCGGCCCUAUUUCCAAGCUCACACGGUGGCCGUGUUGACCGACCAGCCGAUGAAGCAAAUCCUGCAACGAUCAGAUCGUGCUGGUCGAAUUACAAAGUGGGCAGUCGAGCUCGGAAAGUUUGAUCUUGAAUAUCAUCCGAGGCCAGCAAUUAAAGCUCAGGCGCUCGGCAACUUUAUCGUGGAAUGUACUGUGCCCGACGAGCCCGAGCCCAUACCUAUAGCGGAGGAGCCCUCGGAACAGCCGUGGACCUUGCAUAUGGACGGCUCCUCGACCUCGGGGGGUAGCGGAGCAAGCCUCAUCCUCACCAAUCCGGAUGGGGUGGUUGCGGAACAAGCUCUGCGCUUCGAAUUCCCUGCCUCGAACAAUGCGGUGGAGUACGAGGCACUUAUUGCCGGACUCAAGCUGGCUAAGGAGCUGAAGGUCGAGAACCUGAAGGUUUUCAGUGAUUCCCAACUGGUUGUAAGCCAAAUUUUGGAAGACUUCGAAGCCAGAAAACCAUCAAUGCAGAAAUAUCUCUAGAAAGUGCGAUACCUCAUCUCGACUCUGAGCUCUUUCCACAUCCAACAUAUUGCCAGGUCGGAGACUCUCAGAGCAGAUCAAUUGUCGAAGUUAGCAUCCUUCCGUAUGAGCGAACUUCCCAAAGCAGCAGCGCUGGAGUAUCUCCAAAUGCCCAGCAUGGAGGAACCUGAGCCGGCCCUUUGCAUCGAGGUUGAGCCGAGCUGGAUGAACAAGCUCAUUAGCUACCUGCAGGAUGAAAUCCUCCCCAGUGAUGAGCGCGAGGCUCGCCGAGUCAAGUGUCUAGCCGCUCGGUACAUAUUGUAUGAAGGCAAGCUUUACCGACGAUCUUUUAUCUCUCCCCUUCUUAGAUGCCUCCGCCCGACAGAGGCGGAUUAUGCAAUGCGUGAAGUCUAUGAAAGGAUUUGCGGAAAUCAUUUGGGAGGCCGAACACUGGCGCAUAAGAUUCUACGCCAGGGAUAUUACUGGCCGACACUCCAGAAGGAUACGCUAGACUUCGCCCGGAGAUGCGACCGAUGCUAGAGGAAUGCCAAUAUUCAACGCCGACCCUCGACCCCGUUGACCUCGAUCAGUUCUCCCUGGCCAUUCGCCCAAUGGGGAAUUGAUAUCCUGGGACCAUUCCCCCUAGCAACUGGGCAAAAAAAAUUUUUGGUCGUCUCUAUUGACUAUUUUACUAAAUAGGUUGAGGCCGAGCCAGUAGUCCGGAUCACCGAGCAGAAGAUGCGGAAUUUCAUUUGGAAGUCAAUAAUCUGGAGGUUCGGACUUCCCCGCAUCCUCAUAUCAGACAACAGCCGCCAGUUUGACAAUGCUCGCUUUAGAGAGUUCUGCUCCGAGCUCGGCAUCGACCACCGCUUCAUCUCGGUCGUGCAUCCUCAGACGAAUGGAGAAACCGAGGUAACGAAUCGUACUAUUUUGCAGGAACUCAAAGCCAAGCUCGACCAGUCCAAGGGACAGUGGGUCGAAAAUCUAUACAACGUCCUAUGGGCUUAUCGGGCCACAUUCCGUGUACCCACCGGCGAAACUCCCUUCAAUUUGACGUAUGGAACGGAAGCCGUCAUUCCAUUGGAGAUCGGGCUCCCUUCUCCGAGGGUAGAGCAUUAUGACGCCAACUCUAGCUCUUCGCAGCUCAGAAACAACCUGCACCUAAUCGAGGAGACAAGGAAAGCCGCCCGAGUCCGCAUGGCGAGGUACCAACAAAAGAUCGCACAAUACUACAACGCCAGAGUCAAAGCCAAAUCCUUCAAAGUGGGAGACCUCGUCCUCAGAAGAGCUGAAGCCUCUCAGCCGACUGAGAAAGGAAAGUUGGCUCCGAAUUGGGAAGGACCUUACCGGAUCGCGCGUGUCCAGCGACCCGGGGCGUACAAGCUGGAGUCUCUCGAGGGGACUCCUAUUCCACGAAGCUGGAGUUCUGAAAACCUCCGGGUGUAUUACCAGUAGGACCCCAAGGGGUUCUCUCUGAUCGGAGCAUGAGUCUCACCUUUUACAAUAAUUUAUCUGCAAUCGUUUAAUCGUGUUGCGUUUCUUCUGAUGUCUAAAUGUUUCGUGAUUCUCAGACGACCCGGCCCAGCUCAUAUAUACGACCUCGCUCGGAUACUAGAAUUAACACCGGGCAACACCGAGCGCCUUAGCCAGAAGUCUGAAGUGCCAAUGUCGAGCUUGGUCUCGAUUUCCCUCAAAUACCUCGGCAAAGGUCAGAUGCCCCGAGGUCGACAGUGCGUGCCCAGAUCCCUCGGCCUCGGAAAGCGUUGCAGGUCGAUAGUGUGUGCCCAGACCCCUCGACCUCGCGUACGAUCCCCUGAUAAUUCGGGAUACCCCGAGUGUCGACAACGCAUGCCCAGACCCCUCGACACUUCGGGUAGACGGGGUAAUACCUUCGUGGUCCUCCGUGGCGCUCAACACCAACAACGGAGUAGUACCUUCGCGGCCCCUCGUAGCGCCUCCUCGACUAAAGUCGAGAUGCCCCGACGAGUCGACAGUGAGCUCGAGCUCCCUCGACCUCGGGAUGACAGGAUAGUACCUUCGCGGCCCUCCUAAACGUUCGUAAUUAACAACAAAGCACCCUCAAAAUGUUCAUGGAUGACAACAAAGCAACGCCCACACAGAUCUCCAAUGGAAACUAUUUCUCCUAAUGUGCCGGCGUCCCCAAAAAGUGGACCCCGAGCAAAAGAGCGUCCUCAAAAGUUAGCCGGGGAGCAAAGCUGCCGACCUCGGCGUGAGACGCUCGACUCCGACAGUACAAAAGGUACAUUUUAAUCAGUACUUACAUUGUUUCAUUCGUUCCUACACCGAUUGAAUGCUUAAAUAAAGUCCCGACCAGCGUCGAGGUGCUUUGCCGGGUCAAUCACAGACUGACCUCAUUGACCCCGCGCGCACUACUCGUCAGUGAACCCUAGUUCGAUUUAUACCGGCAGCUCGACGAAAUUUGAUCCUGAGCUUGGGGACUUGUAUCGGGCCUGUACCUAGACCUGUUUAAGUCGAGGGGGCCCGACAAUCUGCUUCGGCAACUAGAGGUCCGAGCUCACGGAGUCGAUGAAAUUUGAGUCAGGUUAGCGACCUCAGGUUCUAGGGCUCAGCAGGAUUCAGUGUCGAUCUCGGAGGCUUGACGAGCCCGAGGACAAGCGAGUGUCUCCCGGACCUAAAUACAGCGAUAUCGCUGGUCGAGGGUCCGAGCAGCGGAAACUUAGGACCCGAAUCCAGGGACUUGGCAAAUAUGCCAAACCUAAGUCUGACUACAUAACGAAUGUGGUUGAAACCGCAGAGCCCAAGUCCAUGAACUUGAGUGAACCCGAAGAAACUUAGAUCUACUGAGAAACGAGACUUAAAUCAAUUACACAAAUUUAGAAAAGAAAGUUCAUUUAGAAGAAAAGCCCGAAGGCUGAGUACAAAAUUAAGGCUCGGCCGUAUAACAGACGUAAAGGCCAUCCUCCUUUACAAAAAUAACAAAAGAAAAAGAAAACCAAAGAAAAAGAAAACCCUAGGGGACGAGCGCGGCACCAGCAGCCGGGAUCCCUUCAGCCCGACUGUCCUCGGUAGCUUCGGGGGCAGCUUCAGGAACUCCCGCCAAGCCCUUGGCAGCGACCGGUUCCUCUGUGGCGAAGGUCUCGGCCCGGCCGUCCUCAGCAACCUCAGGAGCAGCCUCGGAUGCUCCCGCCGGGCCUUCCCCGGCAGCGGCCUCUUGAGCGGCUUCUUCAACCGCCCGAGCCUCUGCCUCGACCGACUCAUCUGCCUCGGACUCCUCGACUCCUGCUCUCGGUUGAAGCAGGUUGAGGUUGAAAUCGGGGCAGAGCCGCCUCAGUUGAUUGCGGAAAUCGUUGAAGCCCUGGAUGAGCCCGUUCACGGCUUCCUCUUCGAGCAGGUCGCGGAACUCUUCUGAUUCACGGGAGAGUUGAACGGCGCUCUGGGCCUGCUCUCGGGCCUCCUUUUUCUGAGCUUCAAGUUGCUCGGCCUUCAGCCCCAUAUUCUUUAUUUCCUGCUCGCGGACGAUGAGCAGGGACUGCGCCUCGGCCAAACGAGCCUCGGCGGCCCGCACCUCUGAUCUAGUUAGAGUGUGAGUGGUCCUUUCUUCCUCGAGCUCCGCGGCCAGGAUUUGGACCUCGUCCUCGCUGGCCCCCACUCUAAGCAAAAGCUCCUUCUGUUGGAGCUCGGCCUCGAUCAGCUUUUUCUCGGCCUCUUCCUGUGCCCGUAAACACCGACGAGCUCGUUCUUUGUAGUCUGCACCGAUCGAGAUCAGUGUAUCGAUCUCGUGGAGGUGCUGUAAGCAAGGCAAAGAGAAAUUAGGCCGAGGAUAAAAUUAGGGCAUGAAAGCUAAAAGCUAAAAGCGCAAAGAAUAAAUAAUAGUAAAUAAUGAAUAGACUUACCCGAACAGCAGAGAGGCGAGUUGAGUCCAAGAAAUUGUUCAGGCUCAUGGCCUGAAUUUUCGCCCUGUCAGCUGGGAGAAGUGCGAUGCGGAAGAUCUGCCGCGCCGUCUCGACAUUCUCGAGAGCUGAGUCACCCUCGAACACCGCCCAUUCUGGAAUAUAGGGCCGCCUCUCUUGUUGGCCCUCGUCGUCCAGUGGACCGGGGAGGCUGGGCCUUGUCGCCUUCGGCAAAAGUGGCCUCGCAGCCCCUCGGCUGCUGCCCGACUCGGACGCCGGGCGCUCGGGUCGGACGGGCGGCCGACCAGGGAUCUGCGAGAUUGACGCCGGGCAUGCGAGCGCCAUAGUAGCUCCUGCUAAGCUCGAGCUCCUGGGCUCGGAGCUCGAGCCCCCCCUCCGAGCAGCUUCGGAGGGCCCAGCUCGGGGAGCGCUCCUCUCAGCGGCCCCACCAGCCGAGAUCUUGGCCUUCUUCGGCUCGGACAGGACUCCUCUAGUCUCGGCCGCCUUCUUUCGGAACCGAGCGUACAUAGCUCUGCUCUUGGUCACCAUUUUCGCAAUGUCUGCAAGGACGAGCAAAAGAAGUUUGUAAAAUAUUGUGAGAGGAAAAAGAAGAGAGGAAAAUUUUUUAAGUUACUACCUUUACCCUGAGGGCACGCCGAGCUCAGACCAACAUUGAUUAGAGCAUCCUCGCUCACGAGGCCGCUCAGAAGAAUAUCAUCCCCGAGGCCGUGAACGGCGUCAAGGAUCCGCUGCUCGCGCGUGGAAAGCCUGGGGAGUUUGUUGGCGGUCUUGAGCCGGCUCUGCCUCCACCUAGGGUCGAACCCCCAUGACCGCUCGGAAGCCAAAAAGAAAAUUUUUCUUCCAUUCAUGAAUGGACGUCGGAGCGCCCCGGAAGAGUGGCCGACCCCCCCGAAGGGCGAUAUAGAGCUACUCUCCAUCUUCCGGGUUGGACUUCAACAUGAAAAGCCGCCGGAAGACAUUCAUAGAAGACGGGAUCCCGUACGCUAUGCACAAGGACAAAAAUCCGAUAAUCGUCCUCCAUGCGUUCAGAGCAAGUUGCGCCGGGACGAAUUGGUACUCUCCAAGCAACUUAUUCACAAACCCAUGGAGGGAAAAUCGCAGGCCGGCCCAGAGUGCCUCCAUAUACACUCCGAUCCGACCUAUAAGGGGGUUCGUUACCUGAUCCCCCAACCCAGCGGGUUCCAAACGGAACCCUCGUCGAGGAAAAAACCACUUCUUGGCCAUUUCAACCUCCUCCUCACUUAUUGUGGACCCGAUUUCAUCCGGACCAAGACCCAUUAGAAAAAAAAGAAAGAAGAAAAGAGGAGAGGGGAGGAAGAGAGGGUUCCGAGCAGACGAAGAGGAGGACACCUUUGGGAGUUCGCCGGAGGUAAUGGAGGAUCGGCCGCUUCGGACUGGGAAGGAGAAAGGCUAUGGGAAAGAAGUCAGAGACGGCCAAGUAAGGAUUUAUAUAAAUCCCUCUGACGGUCCAAAUCUGCGAGGCGGAGCACUGCUCCCCGUCCAGAUCAUAACACGUGUCGACCCCAAAAAUUAAAGCGCUGCAUUCAAUUCGAGCUGACGCUUCGAAUAUGGAAGCGCCUCGUUAGAUCGUGUGGCCCCAUCAUGAGCCCACGACGCGAGGACGCUUCGAAAAAUGAAAAGGUACCCCCCUGAUGAAACGUUUCCGAAAAAAGGAGACGCCGCCCAUUAAAAGCGCCUUGAAGCGCGCUAUAAUUCAAAAUUCUCCUAAUCCAUAUUAACACGACCAAAGCUACUUCCCGCGCUCGAGCCUAUGAGCAGCUCGAGCUUGGAAGUCGGGGGGUAGUAUUGGGGAAAAAAUAUAAGUCGUCACGCUUGCAUGAACAUCCGAGCAGACCCCCUCCGACCUGGAGGCGACCGAGCAGAUCCUUCGACCAGGAGACCCGGAGGCGCCCGAGUGGCGUCUCCGACCCGGAGGCGCCCGAGUGGCGUCUCCGACCCGGAGGCGCCCGAGUGGCCUCUCCGACCUGGAAGCGUCCGAGCGGACCCUUCGACCUGGAGGUGCCCGAGUGGCCUCUCCGACCUGGAAGCGUCCGAGCAGCCUUACCGACCCAAAGACGCCCGACUCGCGCGCUGUGGUCACAUCCCCCCGCAGCGCGACCGAAAAACUACGCCUUGCCUUCGUCAACAAUCAAUGCGUAUGGCCCCUACAGGCACUCAGCUUACUCAAUAAUUAAAGCGUAUGGAUUCUGCUGUCUACGGACAUCAAGCCCCUUACGGCAAACCUGCUUGGCUACGAAUGAUGGCAUGACUCCACGAUGAUUUGAGAGCUUCGGCCUAAUCUCCUACAGUAACAGCAUUGAUUCACAUGAUCGAGCAUUAAUUUCUACUGCAUGCCCAAUCGUACGACAGACCGUUUGUCCCGUCACAUCACAGGUAACCCAGCCCCUCUCUAUAAAAGGGGAACUUCUCCAUUUUAAAGGAGGCUGGGAGAUGGAAACUCUGAAUAUUCACUACUCCUCCCGGUCAUACACUUGCCCCCUCUGACUUAAGCAUCGGAGGGCCGGCGCCGGAAAUCCCGGCCACUGGCUUCUUGCAGAUCUCCCGGAGGGCGUCACGCGCCGCCAGACCGCCUGAUGCAGAACAAAAUGCAGAAAAUUCUAUUCCUUUUUAAAUUAAGAAAAUAUGGACCGGUGUCGAUUAAGAAAUCGACACAAAAUUAAGGCACCUCGAUCUAACUUUUAAAUUAUACCGGGUUAAGCAUAAAAUAGGGCUUUUUGUCACAUGAUUACCAAUAACGAUCUACUCCUGAUAAAAGUGGAAAGAUUCUCACCGACACGACGCUUGGAAUCCUAGAAGAGGGAGGAAGGCCCUGAGAUCCGGGAUCGUCGAACGGGCCGCCUUUCGUCUCGGCACACGGUGGACUCCGAGUAGAUCUGAAAACAAGAUUUUUUUUAAGGGAUUAUUUUUUUGUGUGGACUGAAAUGGAACAAGACAAAUUUAAAAUACAAGAUAACUAAUCCGGACGACGGAUCGUCGAAUCGGGAAAGAAAUCCGGAAGGAGAACAAGAGCCGGUGGAUGCGUCGCCUGCGCUAGAAGAACUCGCGGAAGACAGGGAGAAGCCGCGUUCACUUAGGAGAGAAAGAUUUUAGAGAAGGAAGAAAGGUAGGUUCUUGGGUUUGGAAACCAAACUCUCUCAGGCAAUUUGUCAAACAGNNNNNNNNNNNNNNNNNNNNNNNNNNNNNNNNNNNNNNNNNNNNNNNNNNNNNNNUUCUCGAUUUUUACAGCAUUCAUUCGGGAUUCAAUUCCUAGAUUACUCUUUGGUUUUCAAAGCACAGUUGGCAGCGUUGCAUGGGAGAACUCGAUGGGGAUGGGUGACUUGCUGGAAGUGCCUCGGAAAGGGGAAGAGUAGUCCUUGGAAUCAGCUUGCUUUGAAGUGUUGGAAGAACCACCUGUGGGAAGAAUACCUUGGGAAGAAGCCGGUUGCACAUCUUGUGAUGGGAUUUUAAUGAAGACGUGGCUGACUUUGGAAUGUUGGAAAGAGCCACCUGGGGAGAAGACUUGGAGCUUGAAAUGCUUUGGGAAGAAGAACGGGAUGCCUCUUGGGAUUCUUCAAGGAACGGCUGGAGGGCUUGGAACCGGGUGGGUUUUCUUCGGUUUGGGAGCUUCUGCGGGAAGGGAAGAACCUGGGAGAAGAACCGGCUGGGUUCUUGCUUCGGGAAAGGAGGAAAAAGGCUGAACUUCCUCUUCAUCUUCUUCGGCUGGAACUGCAAGGGAAAUCCCGAUGGAAAACGGGGACUCUUCACAGCAUCAUUUCGAAUAUCCUUCGUUGGCUGAAUCGGGGAGAACCGGCUGCAGGCUGGAAUGUCUUCAAUUGCUUCGGUUGGGCUGUAUUGGAGUCCUUUUCGGGAAGAGGAGAACCGGGCUGGGAUGCUUUGUUGGGAUGAGGAAUUCACGAUGGAGCUCUUAAAUGAUGUGAAACCGGGCUGAGGUGCGAUAGAGGAUACCGUGGGAUCCACAUGAUGGGUGUUCUUUGAUGGACACAUCGAGAUGGGAUGGUAGGAUCCAUAGGGUUGCUGGCAUUGGGUUCUUUGGGCUGGUUUCAUUAUGUAACCCAUGUGAACAUGACUUAGUCUAGGCUUGACACAAAUUCAAACCAAAAUUGGACUGGGCUGACAUAACUUGAACUGAACUUCAAAUUAAAAUACUGGAUAUAAAUUAAAAACUCAAGACUCCAAGAAAAUAACAGACAAACUACAAUUAAAUGGCAGACAGGCUGGUGUCCCCACCAAUUCUCCCAGGCUGAAAAAAAUUCGACUCCGUCGAAUGAAAUAUGGUUUGGACCUGGUAGAAUAUUAGGGAAAACUGGUGCAGCUCUUCUCGGGUUACUCAGUGUCAAAGAUUUUAGCUGACCUUACCAACGAACCAGGUACCUCUGGUAUCCAUUCCUCCUGGUAGAAAUAUUUUGCUCGUCCAGAAUUCUCAAUGCUAUCGUGUUUCUUCAAAAUUUCUGGCCGUGGACACUCUGGUAAGGGUUCACUCUCAAAGGAAGGAUUAGGCUCAAAUCUCGCUGGGUAUCGUUAUUGGCUUUAUGCAUAACCAGAUUAGAAAUAUUAAAAGGUAGAGAUGAUGCCAUAAUUUAAUCCACUUUCUUUUUUUUUAAAAAAAAGAAACUCGAUUGAUAUGCAUGCAAUGGAUCUGACUCUAAUAACCCUAAAUGCAAAGUUACUCUACUGGACUCUUAAAAUGCUAACCAUCGGUCUGUGGAAGGUAUGCAGAUGAAAAUUUCCAUUUUACCCCUAAUAAAUGCCACAAAGUUUUCUUGACAUAUUUGGCAAAUCGGAUAUGCUUCCAUGGAUAGUCAGAUAAAGGUAUUGGCGAAUACAGUCCAGGGUCAUAUUUUUUUCCACUGAAUUUUAAAUGGUCAUUUCCAUUAGCAUUUUGAUUAUACCUUCCUAGGGUUAUACUGGCAACAUUCCUAGGAGGUACGUCAUGCGGCACGUCUUCCUCAUAUGAUUGGAAAUAAACUCGUUUAAAGGAGUGGUGCCUAGGUAUUAAUGCUGUCUCUAGCCAGGUUAUCGUGUAUGGGCUCGGGUGGUCAACAGCUAUUAGCCCAUCUUUUAAAAUAGCAGAGACUACAUGGGUGAAGCUACCUCUAUCAAUAAAAAUUCGGCGAAGAUCAAUUUCUAAACCUAUGAAGGUAUUAGAGAUAAUGAUACUCGGCCAAUUUAUAUUUUCUUUUGGUUGGGCCGGGGUGCAUUCCAAAUUAAUUACCUUCGGUUCUAGCUGAACUUCCUUAAUUGGACUCGGUUCAUCAUAGGCUUCAGUUAGGUCUAGGUCCGCUAUGUAAAUUUCCUCAGGAUGUUCUUUUUCGGUUACUCCAAGGUUUAGAAGCUCGGAGGGGCAUUGACUUGCAAAGUGACCUUCUCCGGUGCAGUUGAGACAUCUAACUUUGGAGCUACAUAUUUUAGGCUUCUCGACCAGGGUGCUAUAAUUCUUAGAUUUCUCUCGGGGUUGAGAACUCACUGGUGGAGGACAGUUGGGUGCGGCUAAAACAGUUCUGGGUCUGGAAGUCUGACGGAAUUCAGAUCUAAGGCUCGAGAAGCUCAGACUCGGUGUUUCAUGUGGACGGGUCAUAUGAUGUCUAUUGAACCCGAGGUGGUAUGGCUUUUCCUGAUAACCACGUGGGUAAGCCCUAUCAUAACUGAAAUGAUGAUAUCUAUUUCUGAGGUUAUUUGAUAUGGAGGGACUGUUCAUAUCCUCAUGUUUUUCAAGGGAAUCGAAUCGAACACAUAUCUUGCCUAAUUUGUCAUUGAUCUCCUCAAGAGCUGAAAGAACUGGGGAUUUCAUUUUUUUUUUUGAAUGCAACUAAUGCAGAAAAUAAAACUGGUGCCCUAACAGACUGGCUCUGAUACCAAACUGAUGCGGAACAAAAUGCAGAAAAUUCUAUUCCUUUUUAAAUUAAGAAAAUAUGGACCGGUGUCGAUUAAGAAAUCGACACAAAAUUAAGGCACCUCGAUCUAACUUUUAAAUUAUACCGGGUUAAGCAUAAAAUAGGGCUUUUUGUCACAUGAUUACCAAUAACGAUCUACUCCUGAUAAAAGUGGAAAGAUUCUCACCGACACGACGCUUGGAAUCCUGGAAGAGGGAGGAAGGCCCUGAGAUCCGGGAUCGUCGAACGGGCCGCCUUUCGUCUCGGCACACGGUGGACUCCGAGUAGAUCUGAAAACAAGAUUUUUUUUAAGGGAUUAUUUUUUUGUGUGGACUGAAAUGGAACAAGACAAAUUUAAAAUACAAGAUAACUAAUCCGGACGACGGAUCGUCGAAUCGGGAAAGAAAUCCGGAAGGAGAACAAGAGCCGGUGGAUGCGUCGCCUGCGCUAGAAGAACUCGCGGAAGACAGGGAGAAGCCGCGUUCACUUAGGAGAGAAAGAUUUUAGAGAAGGAAGAAAGGUAGGUUCUUGGGUUUGGAAACCAAACUCUCUCAGGCAAUUUGUCAAACAGNNNNNNNNNNNNNNNNNNNNNNNNNNNNNNNNNNNNNNNNNNNNNNNNNNNNNNNUUCUCGAUUUUUACAGCAUUCAUUCGGGAUUCAAUUCCUAGAUUACUCUUUGGUUUUCAAAGCACAGUUGGCAGCGUUGCAUGGGAGAACUCGAUGGGGAUGGGUGACUUGCUGGAAGUGCCUCGGAAAGGGGAAGAGUAGUCCUUGGAAUCAGCUUGCUUUGAAGUGUUGGAAGAACCACCUGUGGGAAGAAUACCUUGGGAAGAAGCCGGUUGCACAUCUUGUGAUGGGAUUUUAAUGAAGACGUGGCUGACUUUGGAAUGUUGGAAAGAGCCACCUGGGGAGAAGACUUGGAGCUUGAAAUGCUUUGGGAAGAAGAACGGGAUGCCUCUUGGGAUUCUUCAAGGAACGGCUGGAGGGCUUGGAACCGGGUGGGUUUUCUUCGGUUUGGGAGCUUCUGCGGGAAGGGAAGAACCUGGGAGAAGAACCGGCUGGGUUCUUGCUUCGGGAAAGGAGGAAAAAGGCUGAACUUCCUCUUCAUCUUCUUCGGCUGGAACUGCAAGGGAAAUCCCGAUGGAAAACGGGGACUCUUCACAGCAUCAUUUCGAAUAUCCUUCGUUGGCUGAAUCGGGGAGAACCGGCUGCAGGCUGGAAUGUCUUCAAUUGCUUCGGUUGGGCUGUAUUGGAGUCCUUUUCGGGAAGAGGAGAACCGGGCUGGGAUGCUUUGUUGGGAUGAGGAAUUCACGAUGGAGCUCUUAAAUGAUGUGAAACCGGGCUGAGGUGCGAUAGAGGAUACCGUGGGAUCCACAUGAUGGGUGUUCUUUGAUGGACACAUCGAGAUGGGGUGGUGGGAUCCAUAGGGUUGCUGGCAUUGGGUUCUUUGGGCUGGUUUCAUUAUGUAACCCAUGUGAACAUGACUUAGUCUAGGCUUGACACAAAUUCAAACCAAAAUUGGACUGGGCUGACAUAACUUGAACUGAACUUCAAAUUAAAAUACUGGAUGUAAAUUAAAAACUCAAGACUCCAAGNNNNNNNNNNNNNNNNNNNNNNNNNNNNNNNNNCAGGCUGGUGUCCCCACCACCGCCGCUCGCCGAUUCUCACCGGAGUUCCUCCUUCCUAGCCCAGUGGUCGCCCUCGGGUCCAAAUUCCAGCAACAAUAUAAGUCAAAUCAGCUUAGCUAUCGCUCCCUGAAUUUUCUUCAUCAAGAUCCUUGGCAUCUAUCACAAAUUUUCCACGACAAUUGUUGUAAGCCUCUAAAAAUUAAAUUCUACAUGCAAUACUAAAUUUUACCAACGACUUCAACAACAAUGACAAAAGAACCCAAGAUCAGCUUAUAAUCCUAGACUUUGAAUUUAAGUUUUACACAUACCCUAUAGUCUCCAACAGACACAAAUAAGGUCUAUUUCUUUGUUCCAAAAAUGGUAAUUGAAAUUACCAAGGAUUCCACCAAUUUGAAUACUCUAGGACCUCAAAAUAAAAUCAUCUCUUUCAACUACUGGGAUAAGCCUGUUUGCAAUAUCCGCAAACAUAUUCUCCAUCUACAUGCCGAGUUCAUUAUGAUCUACAUACAGAUUCAAACCUCAAAGAAUAUUCCAAUUAGAAAUCAUAAAAAAUCUUGUUUAGCCUAUACGUUAAACAACUUCUUAUGAAUGUAUACCCCCAUAUCAAAUUGAGUUUUCAAAUUUAUUAAUGAACAAAUAAUUACAAUGCAUGAUAAUACUCCGUGCCCAAUCCUCUUGUGUUUAUUGUUUUUGUCAAAAUCGUAUUAAUAACCUAACAUACAAAUUGCUCCACCUUAAGAACUCCUAACUAGCUCAUUUAUACUUCACCAAUGGGCAUGACAGGGUGACAUUCAAAUUUUAUUAAAAAUAAAACAAGCAUUAAAAAUAAUAUUUAGAAAAGAUAAUAUGAAAUUAUCAACAAAAAAAAAUGCAAACAAAGAUGCCUUAUAACCUAAUUCUAUCCAACUCUCAACCUUUUCAAUGAGUCCUAAGAAUCCUUGUACCUAGGCAUUUAUGCCACCAUUCAUAAUAUUAAAUAGCCUCAAUAUAGUACCCAAUAACCAUGCGUGUCCAGGCUACCAAAUUGCAAGAAUGCAUCCUCUCAAAAACCUUAGAUACCUUUUUAUGGCAUCCAAACUUAUUCUAAAUUCCAUUAUUUUAUUUUAUUUUAUUUUUUACAACAGCGCCUUACACAACAUGUGCAUGAGUGCGAUCAACAAAAUUUAAAAAAAAGAAGCUGACAGAAAGACUUUUUUUUUGGUACAUCGACGCCUCACACAACAUAACACAUGCAUGAGUGCGACCAAUAAAUUUUUUUUAAAAAAAAAUUGAUGGAAAGAAUAAAAAACGUCCGCUUGAUUUUUCUACGAAAAAUCACCAGAGUGAUGAGCUGCAAAGAAGGCCAUCCAGCCGGUACUGUUUGUGGCUUCGAGAAAACGGGCGGCAAGCCGAAACGGACCUUAAUCGGCUCGGAUCGAGUUCCAUGGCCCAACGAAGACCUGAUCCGACCUGACAAUAAUCGACCUAGGGACAGAGGAAUAAUUUCAUCUCUCCUCCGAUCUCCUCUCCUUUCCGCACUCCUCUGCGGCUUCGCCUCCCACUCGCCCCUCUCUUCAGGAAGCACCCUUCGUCUCCGGCAACCACAUCCUCCGGCGACCUUCUCCAGCGACGAACACGCCCAUUCUGCCCGCGUAUCCACCUUCCACUCCUCCGGCCGCUACCUCCUCUGGCUUCGUCGAGCAAGGGAAGGAUUUGAAGUAACGGCAAGAGAAGGUACACCAGCCCAAUCCUCCUCCUCACAAUGUGGUUUUUGUGAUUAAAUUCUUCUAUGACAAGGUAAAUGUGGGUGGUUAUUUAAUUGGUAUGGUGGGUGGUGGUUUAAUUGGUAUGCCGUAAGAAGGAUUCGAAGUGUGUUUCUUCUUGUGAUUUUGACAAGAAUGCUGGGAUUUUUUACAAUGCCUCGCGGUAUAGGUCAGAUUUUUGAAAAGGAAAUGGAUUCAAUUAAUUAAAUGGACUUGGGAUUUCUCGCGAUGCUCGUAUUUUAUUUCUAUGAGUUCAAUCUGUAUGCUGUAAGAAGGAUUUGAAGUUUAUUUCUUUUGUGAUUUUGAGAAGAGUGUUGCGAUUUUUCACAAUACCUUGUGAAAUAGGUCAAAUUUUUGAAAGCAAAUCUAUAAUUUGAAUUAAUUGAAUCUCAUCGGAUUUUUCAUAAUGCUGGUAUUUGUUUUUAUGAAUUUAUGCAUUAAUCGCACAAUAAACAUGUACUCAGAAUACUGAAGUUAUGCAUGAAUAAUCUACUGGUUGGAUGUUAAUCAAAUCCAGUGGUCCAUGCAGAAGAUAUCUAUAAUGGCUUUAUAACAAAAGAUUGAAAAAAAGAAACUUUAAUAUUGAAACACUUCUUAACAAGCAAUGGCAAGUGAGAAUCUUCUUUGGGAAAGUUAUUGGAGCAAGGUGUCUCCAAUCACCACAUGCUAUUUGGCAGGUAAGAGUUUUCUUUGUGAAAGUAAUUCAUGUUGCCACCAGUGGCGAUUGCAAUUGAGGUUGGAGAGGCAUGGAUCAGAUCAAGACGUCAUGCGUCCUCGUGAUAUGAUCUGUUUCCCUCUCAUCACUUUUCAAACUUGGACUGCUGUUGCCACCGGGGGCCACAGCACUGCUCCACUUCCAAAGAUGGGAAUCUUUUGCCAAAUGCUGAAGUCCCAAUCAGAUAUAAGAAAGCUUCCCAAACCCUACUGCCCAGUCAUGACUUGCCCUGCUAUUCCUUAUCCUAUUUCUCAUCCCCUUCACCACCAUUGCCACUGCAGCUCUGUUGCCUCUGCUUGUAUUUUUCCCUGGAGAUAAGAUUUCUCUACUUCCUAUCUGGCAAAGACUUCUUUUUCUUUCUCCAUUUGGUCAGUAUGAGGGAGUUUGAGGGAUGAAUGCAUUUCCGAUGCUGUUUGUGUUUUAAGAAUCUUAGUUACAAUGAUAAUGGUUCAUAGGAUAAUGGUUCUUGUACCCCUUUUUCUUCAACCUUAUUUUUUGAGGUAUGCUUGAAUGCGGGUGAUUUGUUGUCAUUUGGGAUCAUUUCUGUCCAAAUCAUUGGUCAUAAAUUAAUGAAAGAAACUAUGAGUCACUUAGAAAGUGUUUUGUCUUUCAUCUUCUCGUGAGUCCGUUUAGGAAGCUUCUGAUUUUUUGGUUAGCCACAAUUUAAGUAUGGCUGCUGUUUGACUGUUCUCUUUGGAGGCCCACGAAUAGUGGGUGGCUUCAUUUGCUGCUGCUCCGUUCCUACUGAUUAUCAAACUGAUAAUGAAAGAGCCUUAUGUCAUCUGUUUGGGAUUGGCUUGGAGGGAUGAAUGUAUGAUCUGACAAAGUUUAAAUGUUGUAACUACUGCAACCUGACAUUGACCCUCCUAAUUUGUGUUAAAUUCCUAGCUGAGGUAGCACUAGACAAAACAAGAUCAUGCCAUGAAACCAAGAGCACAAGUAUGUGGGUAGAAUCCUAACUUGUUGGUUUUGUAGUUUGUAUAUGCUACUAAGAGGAAAUGGCUCAGCUAUUUGUGUUUGCUCAUUUUCUGGGUGAACAAUUGGGUGUUUAUAUAAAACCAAGGAAGGCAAACUGGAAACUUGACAACAUUAUCGCUUAUAAUCUCAAUAUAGAGAUAGAUGCAUGAAAUGACAAAAAAUAAGAAGUCUUAUCUUUAUUCAAGGAAUUGGGUUCUUGAAAUCUACAGGUCUUUUGAAUGGUCUAUUUGUGGAUUUAUCUUAAAAAAUGGGUGAAACUGAUCUUUGCCUGUAUUUUCUCCAUGGAAGGUUGGGAUAACUCAUCCUCGGUAACUUGUUUCUAUUUAGAAAGGUUUUUUGUAUAAUAGUUGACUUCACAUUGUAAUUUUGAUCAUUUAUAGAAAUUCUGUUAAAUUUUCCCGUGUCACAUAAUUUGAAAGUUCUGAGUGGUGUAACUGAGAACAAAUUUUUUUUCUUUGAUGCAGUCAAUAUGGCCACCCUUAGAAAUCUGAAAAUUAAGACGGCUACUUGCAGACGCAUCCUUAAGGAGCUUCAUUCUUAUGAGAAAGAAGUUCAGAAAGAAGCUGCAAAAACUGCAGACAUGAAGGAGAAAGGUGCUGACCCUCACGAUCUUAAGCAGCAGGUAGCUGAAAUCAUGAUUUUUUAUUUUUGUUUUACGUUUUAUUAUGAGUAACGUAUUUAUUCUUUACCUUACAUCAGGAUCUUGAACCUUAAGCUAACAUAGGUUUUGUGGAAGUAGUGAUUCAUGCAUUUGUAUUAGCUCUCCCAUUUGUUCACCUGCCACUUACAUAUGGUUAUGCACUAAGCUAGAAACCAUCCUUUUGAUGUAAGAUUUAUUUAACUAGUCACUAGUUUAGAUUUCCUUAUUGAGUUGGCAAUUGUAACAUUCUUUUUAUGGCUAUUAUUAGUGAAUAGUUAAAUGUGUAUUUGCUGACAUUUGCAUCACAUAAUUUAUGCUUUUUUUAAAUAAAAAAAAAUUUGACAAUCCCCCUUAUGUGCCAGCAUAGAGUAUCUCUCCAUGUCCUUUAGUUGUGCCCUCUAUCAUUUUGUACAGUUUUCUGCUUCUGAGUGUACUCAACGCUUGAGCCUACUUAAGAUAAGUCCACAUUUUAGUUUAAAGGAAAUGUUUAAUGGUUGGCAUAUAAGUGGAAAUAUAAGUGGAUUAGGUGAUGUGGCCUUGUUGAGACUUGAAAAGUAUACAUAAUAUGAUUCUGAUGCCACUUUUUGGGUUCAGAUCUGAUAUAGGAGGAUUAUUGGAACACCAAACAGAUGCUAAGAUGAUCCCUGCAGCAGAUUUAACAAAUCUGUUUGCCAGCUUUGAUAGAACAAGCCAAUAGUCUGCUGCAUAACAGCAUUAAUAAAUUUCUGAAGAGGAAUACAAUAGGUAGAAAUGAAAAUGGGGGGACAAUAUUAAUAGAAUUAGUGCAAUAAGAAGUAGAAGAGAAAGCAGAAAGAAGAGAGGAAGUGACCUGCAGCUUCAUAUUUCUUUCAAAGGAACUCAAGUAAAAUAUAAAAAACACACCAUAAGCAUCUGAUCAUAACAGCCUUUUAUUUAGUUUAAUCAGCUAUCUAUCCUACUACAGAUAGGACUAUCCAAUUCUGAAAUGAAACUAAAGGAUCGUCCACUCCUACCUCGCUUAGCAUGUUUUGGAAAACAUGGGUCUAAUUCUAAGGAUUUGCUUCCCAUAUUUUCCUUAGAUGUCCCAAAACCUGCCUUUUUCAAUAUCUAAUUGUCAUCCAGCACAGACAGAUCAAGUAAAUGGCUGCAAGAAAAUUCUGGAACCACUUAAAUUUGCAUGCUUCUUUCCAAAUUGUAAACCUCAAGUGCCAAGGCUGCCCUCUUUUGGAUCUCCAAAAUCCAGAUCCACUUACAAAGUGGAUGUCGGACCUAUUUGUGAACUUCCAUAGUAUUAUAGAUCCUUACUGAGAAUAUGGAAGCAGGAGGUCUAGAAUGCUUGAAUAUUUGCAACUUUGAUUUUAUUAGUUCGACUAUGCCAAUUAAAUGAAGGGAAAUAGCAAAUAUCAAAUUCAAUCUAAAUUCAUUUGCUACAGGGAAAGAGUCAUGGACAAUCAAGCUCCUAUGAGCAAUCAGAAUCCUCAGACAUUUGAUAAGAAGAUGGCUUUCACCAAUAUCCAAGUAGUUAGACGGAAUAUACAUCAAAUGAUAUGGAGUACUUGCAAAAUGAAUAGUUCAUUUUUCGCCUUACCAUAAAAUGUGUUGGAUCUGAAGCUAUCGUCUAGGGAACAUUUUCAAGAGUCAAUAUCAGGCUUAGAUCAACCACUAGAGAACAUCAGAAAGUCAAUGGUGAAGAUUUGAUAUCUUACCAAUAAGUUAAAAGCUCUGACAAGCUCCUGAGCAACGAUCAUGAAGUAACAAUGGUUCUACACUUGAUAAAUCCAGCUUGAUUGAAUAUGAUCAAUUACCUAAUUUAUUUUGAAUUUUUAAGCAAAUUACUGAAUUGCAUCCCAACAUUUCUUUUAACCAAAUCUAGAAAAAUUGAAAUAAAGCCUCAUUGAAACGCUCAUGCUUAAAAGCUUUAUCAUGGUUGGUAGAAAAAACCACAUUCUCAAUUUCUUUAAAACUUACUAAUCUAGAUAGUCAUAGACGGGCUUUAAAACAUGGAAAUCGAAUGCACUUCUUGAAAACUGGGUGGAAUGUGGGACUGAUUAAAGAGUUUGCUGAAAAAUUCAGUUGCUUUACCUUGAACACUCUCUAGCAUGCUCCAUUAUCAAGCCAAAUCAGCCGUUAGGGUUCCAUAAAGAAUCAGCUGCUUUGCCUGCCUUUAGGGUUCCAUAAAGAAUUUCGUCUUCCAGACUUGGACACUCAAGCCGUACUCUGCCUUAAUUGACUUUUCUCCAUAGCCAACCAAGAUCUAUUCAUUUGUGUUUGUAGCAUGCCUGCUCUUAAAGCUCCAUAUGGAAUUUGAGUUUUUUGUCACCCAAAUAUAGCUUACCAAGCACUAUUGCAUAUGCAAUGGAGCUUAAUUCCGACUUAACUUGCUCAAUUUUUUAAGCAGGAAAAUCUAGCUGAUUCUUUUUUUAAGUUUGUUUCUAACUUAACAGCAUUCUGCUUCUACAUUAACCAUGAUUGUUUGACUAUGUGUUCGUAAAUCUUUAAGGUCAUUUAGUGUGUACUUGUAUACUUGCUUGUGCUAAAUUUAUAUCUUUUAUCAACAAAAGCUCUUUAUCAAAUAUUUUUGUUUAAAAUUUAAUACUUAGUAUCCAUUUUCUGGUAUUUAAGAUAAUAAAUGCUCGUUGCCACAUAUGUCAUACCACUGUGCUUGUCUGCAGCAUAAGUGCAUGACAGUGUGUAAGCUCUUUGAAUUCUAUGACCAACAUAAAAAAUAUCAUUAAGCCAUGAAACUGAUGUAGGACCAAUUAGGGAUGCCUUACAAGGGCCUAAGUGGAACUAAUGUAGGGAUUUGAUAAAGGUUUAGGCCAAGAAACCACCCUGCUGUCCUGUUAUGUUCCUAGAAACAAGAUAGAAACAAUUUCUUUUUGGUGAUUGUAAAACUUAAGAUGGUUUUUAAAUCUACUUUUAGAUCGUUAGAGCAUGCAUAGGUCCAAUGAACAAGUUUGUAAAAAAAAGGGAAACUUGUCAAAUGGUAGUGGCUCGUGUUAGACAUUUGACAGAAAUUAAGAUCACAGGUUUUAAAUUCAUGGAAAAAAUGAUUAAGGUGAGAUUUAGAAGAGCAAAUAUGAAGAUGACAUUAGUAGAAUUGAAAAUAAUAGAAGAUAGAUGAAGAGAGAGGAGGAAGAGAAAUAGAGAGAUAAGAAGGGCCAAACCCAGCCUAAAGUAAUUCUACCACUCUCUCAAAACAUCUCAUGUACAAUGCUUUUGCAUCCUGCCCUGAUAGACCCUUUUAUAGACUUGACUCUAGUUUUACAAGUAAACUAGGACUCCUAACCAAGUAAGCUUCUCCAAAAUCUUUUCUAAAAAGCAAAACUGGGAAUACUAGAUAACCCCAUAUAGAACACCUAAAACAGUUCAAAAUCAAAAUUUAAAGGUUUAUGACUUGUCCAGCCAAGUAUAUACUUAAAGUGGGACUCUUUCACACCAAUCCUACUAAAAGUAGAACUCUAAAACCCACUCUAAAUGUCACCUAAAUAAGAAUUCCGAAAAUACAACAAAGUCUUAAGCUAAGCUUUUAUUAUGCACCAUCUGAAAUUUUUAGCUUAAUGUUGGAAGUCACUGUAACCACUUUUAAAUUGUUAUCUUAAAAUAAUUCAAUUGGGCAAAGCAUAGUGGGAUGAUGAGAUUUAACCAACGUCGGCCGAACCGGACCGAACCGCCCGGUUUGGACCGUACCAAGUGGCCCCAGUGGGGGACUAGGCCGGUUCAGCUAUUAAAAUCGGGACCGGUCCCAAACUGGCCGAAACUGGUCCCAAAUCGGCCGGAAAGGGCCAGAACCGGAUCGAACCGACUAGACCUGGUCGGAACCAUUUGAAACCGGCCGAUUUUGUUCAAACUCAGUGGAUCUGGUUCGCACUGAGUCGGGUUGGUUCUAAAUCGGCCCUACUCCCCCUUUCCUUCUUUUGUUAUAAGAGAAUGUUGGAAAAUUCCGAGAAGUUUUUCAAGCCUUCCCAACGUUUAUUCUCUUCUUUAAUCGUCUCCUCUUUUUCCUACAGCGAAAAUCACACUGAUUCAGUACGAUUGAAUAAAGAUCCAAGCCUAAAUAAGGUGUGCUUCCUCUUUCUUAUCUCAUUUUCUCUUUUUUUGGGGGGGGCUCUAAAAAAUAGCUCAAAAUUUGCAAAAUAAGGGAGAUUAUGACAGAAUUUUAAUUUUGGCUUGAUUUUAUGAUAUGUUGUAGAUCUAUAGAUGAUCUACAUGAUAACAUAAAAUUUUUUAAUUUUCAGAUGAUAUAUAAUUUUUAGAUAUCAGUAGGUAUGUUGUACUUUAAAUAUGUCUAAUUGAUUGUAUUAUUUUAUAUUUUUUACCUCACUAGCUGAUUUUAGAAUAUUUCACGUUUGUAGCAUGCAAUAUCUUACUAAUCUUUUUAUAUUUUGUAUCACUUUAAAACAACAUGAUGGAUCAUUUAGAUUAAACCGAGAUCAUAGAAACAUCAAAAAAUAUUAAAAUAACAUCAAAUUAAACUUAAAAUUAUUCAAAAAGUUGAAAAAGAUUGAUUACCAAUUAAUUAAACUUGAAAAACUAGAAAAAAAAUUAGGCGUAUUAGUUUGAAAUUGGCGUGCCCAAGCGUACCGUGUGUCAGUACAAUAUCGAACCGGUACCGUACCGACCCACCCGCCAACCAGUACAGGUCCCGAUACCGCUUCGGCAGACCUUAGAUUUAUCUCAAACUAAUAACUACUUAUUUUAUUUUAUCCAAUGCGUAAAGGACCUAUUUGAAUUUUGAAGCUAAAAUCAUAAUGCUUCUUACCUAUCUAAACUUGCCACCUUGUUGCAUGGCUAUUUUGUCAAUUUUGUUAAAAUAUUCUUUGUUUGGAAGGGGAAAUUUCAAACCUUGAAUAUUAAGGCUAAAUUUUAUAAUUUAGGCAUUAUCAAAUUGUUCUGAUGGAAUUAUGCCAAGGCCGUAUAUUGUUAAAAAGUAGGCUCAUGGUUUAUUCCUAGAAACAUCAAUGACUUUGUUAAAAGGAAUAUGCAAAUUCAACUCAUUGUAGUAAGACUCAAGCAUGUGGAAUAAAAUUGAUAGUUUGAAACAAAAUUGCUUCGACCAUACUACCAUUCCAAAUUCUUCAGUUAUGCUGAAUGGAUAUUUCGACUUUAUGGCAACUUCCUCUUUGGCCUAAUAAAUUAGUAGUAUAUUUCCACCAAACCUUGCCGUAUCGGUUAGUACCAGUGUGUACUGACCGUACCAUACUAUACUGAUAUUGAAUUGAUAUGCAAUACAAGGGACGUAUCAAUACUCGGUACGUCGAACCGACCCUCAUAUUAGGUGUACUGACACUAUAAUAGGAUGGUACUAUUAUGGGGCUCGGUACCAAGAUGGCGAAUUUUUUCCACCAUUAAGAUCAUGCACAUUUGUCAACUAUGAAUUAUGCCUAUUACGACCGUAUCUAUAAUAAAGAGCAUUGCCUUAAGUAAUGUUGUUGAAAUCAGUAUUUGGUUUCAAUUUUCAUAUAUCUUUUUCAAUUUGUUCGUCUUCUUUCUCAUUAAUAUUAUGCUGAUGAAUCAUAAUCUUCUAUUUAAUCAUGCUAGAUGGUAGAUAAAGCUAACCAAUCUUAGGCCAUGUUUGGUUACUAGGAAUGGAAGUUCAGAAUGGUUUCCAUUUCAUUGGGAAAUCCAUUAUUGGAAAUAAUCAGAAUGAUUGAUACCGUUCCUAUGAUUGGAUAAGUCUAGGUAAUCUCAAGGGAAUAAUAUUACUAUAAGUAUGCAAUUAUUAAUAUAAAUUUAAUAUGUUAAUAUUAAUUAUAAUGUUAUAUCUAGAUUUAUUCAAAUUGUGAUCAUGAUUAUCAAAAUAAUGUAGUAUAUAAAUCUAUAAUGUAAUAUAUACUACAUAUAAUGUUAUUUAAUUUAUGAUUGUACAAACUAUAUAAUUAGAGUAGUAUUAUUAUAACAUCAAUAUUAUUAACAUAGUAGUGUUAGUUUUGAUGCUUCAAUAAUAUAUUAAUGUUAUAUUAUAAAUCAUAUAAUUAAAACGAUUAAUAUUAAUAUUAUAUUGUAUUAUGUAAUUAAUAAUUUUGAUAUUCAUAUAUAAUACAAUAUAUUGUGAAUAAUGAUAUUGUUAGUUAUAUAAGAUAUUUGUAGUAAAUUAUUAAUAUAAUACUAUAUAAUAAUUAAUAUGAAUAAUAAAUAAUAAUAUAAUAUUGAUAUAAUAAUAAUUAUAAGGUUAUAUAAUCAAUAGAACUAAAAUAUUAUAAUAUAUAUCAUUAUAUUAUCUAAUGGAUAAUAAAUUACUAUAAUAUAUUAUCGAUAUACAGUUAAUAUUAACAAUAAAAUAUAUAAAAAAGCUCUUCAUCAUUACUCAUGUAUCUAGGAUUAUGGAAAAUGAUACCUAAGCCACCCUCCCUGCCAAGAAUGGUUUUCUCCCUUUUUAUGGGAGUUCAAUACCUGCUAGAAUAGUAUUCCCAUGUCCAAAUGAGUUACUAGCACAUGGGAGGAGGGUGGAUAGAAAACUGAUUCCCAUUCCACCUCCCAAUUCCUGAUUACCAAAUGUGGCCUUAAAAUUAGGCAGUGGCUUAUGGCUAUUUCCAUCACAUGAAAUUGCUAUACAUUCGAUCAGAGAUAUGGGAUGAUGCAAAAAUGAUGUUGAAUAUAAAUUUGAUGGGCUAUCGGGCUCUAGUGAGGUCACAAAAAUGGACAAACCAUUUUUAGUUGACCAUCUACUAAAAGUAGGCAACUGGAAAAUGAAAGGUUGCAGAAGCACCUCUUCAUCAAUAUACCAACAAGUUCACCAUGACAAGUUCUUUAAGGCCCAAGCUUUAAAGAAAUCAGAUAGUGAUAUUAUCUUUUAGUCAGGAAAUUAUGUUUCAGCCCCCAGCUCACUUUGACAAGAGCUUCAAAAAUCAAAACCUUAUGUUUUGUAUUGAUUCUUGAAUGUAAUCUGGCGGAUAACAGUGCUUAAAUUUCCCAGAUUUCAGUAAUGCCUCUGCUAAGAAAUUAAACAAUGAUAGGAGCAUGAAGAGGACAACACAAACUUCAAUAUGAUGAUAGUAAACUUUAAAUGUUCUAAUGAUGGCAGACUAAAUGGUUUGGAAGGGGCCCUGAUAUGAUCUUAUUUGGAUUCAAGAGGUAGUAGUGGGCCAUUCUCAUUCAGAAAUAGUAGGCAUUAAAGCAACAUAUACUGAUUGAUGGGAUAGCCUAGCACAUGUUCUAGGGGUGGUAUGGUACCAAGGAAAAUAAAAUACAAUAUCAAUUUUGCACAAUUUAUUGAAAGAAAUUUGACUAACUUGAUAAAACUAUUUGAUUAAAUUAUUUAAUGUCAUACAAUAUUGCUUGAGUAUGAUUUCAUCUAUUAUUGAUUAAACUAGGAAAAACAAAAAAGAAAGUUUUUCCCCAACCUGCAUAAUGUUAAUUAAACAUAAGAAAGGGGCUCAUCCUUGAAGCAUCAUAGUAUAUGUGAUCAAUAAUACUCAUUAUUUUUAAUAAAUCAUGAAUUGAGUUCCAAUUUUGGAGCAGGAGAACGUGUUGGCAGAGUCAAGGAUGAUGGUUCCUGAUUGCUACAAACGAUUGGAAGCUGCACUUGCAGAGUUAAAAGGAACACUGGUAUAUAUACUUUGCCACAGACAAAUACCAUGACAUCGUGAAUUAAAUCUUACUGAUAUUAUUCUAUUGCAGGCUGAAAUGAAGGAGUCCAACCUGCAAUGUGUUGAAAUCGAAGAAGCUGAUAGUGUGAUUACAGAAGUUGAAGCAUCAUUUCCAACAUCAGAGGAUUAGAAGUUAAACGAAUUGAGCAUUAUGACAUUCAAAGUUCUGAUAUAUGGGCUGCCCCACAUGUACUUAUAUUUUAUGUGGCUUAUCAUGAAUGCUAGUUCCUUCGGGUGUUGGAUCUUUGUAUUUGUCUAAUUUUACCAGGAUUGCAUUCACUGAUAAGUAACUUCCCUUCAAGAUCUUUUUAUGUUAGUUUUACAUUAUCCAAAUCUUUUUUCAUCCUCCUAUCUUGCUUCCACUCUAACCCUAACAAGAAGCGGUGGCAUCUCACCAUCCUUGUGCGCAAUCGCUGGAUCAAAGACCUACGUGCUGAGUUUGUUUUGCAGGAUGCCGGUUGUCAUUACUCAUUAAUAUGUCUUCUAAUUUUUGAUUGUUAGACCAUUCCUUCCCUCCAGCAUUUUGGCAGCUAUAUUGCACUGCAGGAUAUCACUAUUUACCUCCCUUUUCUAUGCAGAUCAAAUUUAGGCACUUUCAUUCAUCAUAUAUCUCGAUUCGCCUCAAAUAUGCUGUUGAAAGGAGUCCAUGGUUGGAAUUACUUGCUUUUGUUUUGUUCUUGUCAAGCCAGAUCCCAUAUGAGGGAUGAGUAUAUUUGAAUUCUAUGUCAGACCUGGGUUGAACAUUUAGAUUUAGACAGCAGGGUACAUAUUAGAUUGUCUGGAUGGAUGACUUAACCAUCAUUAUAACAUGACCUUUUAUCAACUUUGAGUAAACUAUGCUUUUGUAUGUGUGCGUGUGUGCAUGUGAUGCGAGUUUCGUAAUGACAAUAUAUCUCCCAUAUUUUCUGUUCAAGUUAAUAUCAGCAUUUCAUGACUCUUUUGAUUGCAAAAAUAGUGCCUUCCUAACAACAAAAUGACCACCUCUAAAGGGUUUUUUAGUUACUAAUAACUAAUUAUACAAGUAAGCAUAUUCCACCAACAUAAUAGUAGAAUCUUUAUUGUGUAUUUAUGUCUAAAAUGUACAACCAUAUCAAGUUUAUAGAUAAAUGUCAUUUUCAGGUAAGUUGAAAUGUAUAUACAACUAGUAUUCAUAAUAAAUCCUCAGAAUGUUAAUUUUUCAUUAUUCACGAAAUUAUCCAAACAAGUACAGCUCGAGCUGUAAGUGUCUUUAACAGCACCGCUGCAAAAGAGAACGCAAAUAAAAAAGAAGAGAAUUGGGUUGCAGACUGGGUGGCCACCUAUAUGGCCAACCACACCGGCAGUACCAUUUGGAUAGGGGUCGAGGAGUUGCCUCGGAAGCUUCAUGAUAUUUUGUUUUCUGAUUUUAUUUGGUGUAUUCGUGCACGUAUGUAUGAAUUAUCCAUUAUAAUAAAAAUAAAAAAUAAAAAAAGAAAGAAAGAGGAGAAACGUUAUCCUUUUCACACCGUCAUCACCUACGUCAAACCAUCAGAGUAGAAUAUUGAGGAAAUGAAGAAAUUUGAUAACUAACUUUGUUACAAGGUAUUAAGUUUAUUAGAAUUACAUCCUAUUCUAAAUGCAAAAGUUUAAAGUGUCCCCAUCUUAACUCAAUGACCAAAUGACACUUCCUAACAUCAUAUUAGAGGCUAAAUUCUAAUUAUUGGCAUCUCAACAUAACUUCCCUAAGAGGUUUCAAAUCCCAAUGCCAUGUAUAUGGUUGCAUCCUUAGUAGGAAGCAUGGUGCCACUAGGUAAUGGGGCUUCCUCUCAGAGGCUUUCUAACACAAGCCAACCCAAUCGAAGGUUAAUGUGGCUCGUUUAUAAGUCAAGCUUGGAAUAAGUUUGGUAGGAGAUAGGAAACUUUGGUUCCUGAGUAAAUUGUUGAAUAAAUUAGAAGUUUGUUUUGUUUGUUAGAUCAAACGAUAAGUCCAAUUAAGCAUAUUAUGAUUGCUCGGCGGAAAAAGCAUAUUACCAAGUUGAUCCCGGGCGUGAUAACAAUUUCGCUUGCAUCCUAGAAAUAACAUUUUCCUCCAAGAAAAGAAGAAAAAUGGACUUGCAACAUCUAAAAUAAGAAAAAAGAAAACAUGUAAAAUAAAAAAAAAUAAUGGUCUAAAUAAUUGCAUGAUGGCUAGUCUCAUUUAGUCAUCUUAUAUUACCUUUCUGCACAUCAACCCGUGAUUUAUAAGACAAUUCCAUUCAAGCACUUGAUUAACAAAUGUAGAAUUUAAAACACCGCUUCAAGUUGCAUGGUGAUUGAUGACUAUAUAAAUAUGAGAUGCUAUAAUAAUUUAAAUUAAUAGCAAUAGAAUAACUUAAGUAAAGAUGGUCCAAGUCAAUUCUUACAAAUCCUUGCUUGCAUGUGUCAAUCCAUAUUUUAAACAUUAAAAUACUUGAACUUUUAAGCACUUUUAUUGACAAUUAUAUCAAUAAUAGAAAAUUUAGGAUUAAAGACGAAAAACUUUGUGUCACAUAUGAACCACAUUCAAGAUGGAAAUACAAUUACUUGGUGCCUAUUAGCGAUCUAAUAACCAGAUGUUGAAUUCAAUCAUGCUAGAUGCCUAAACCAAAAUGGUUGGUAGAUCGGUCGAGAGGGGAGAAGGGCUACCUGAUUUGUACCUGAAUCUAAGUAACAAUUUAUACACAUAUCAAUGGUAGUUGAAGAAAAAUGGGUUUCAUACUUUCAUACCAGUGUCUAUCACUUCAUGCCAAUUCAUAUCAGCCGAUGUUGGUCCAUAUGUUUGCAUUCCGGUUCAUAGUAGUUAGCACUAUACAUGAAUUGGAAAUUGACAUUGUUUUCAAAUUAAUGACAAGUUGAUGAAAAUGUUAUCAUGGUAACAAGGGCAUGUCAAGGGCAUCCACUUAAUCUUUGUUAUAUUUGACAUCAUUAAUCAUUGAAAUAUGUUGUCUUCUGUAAAGAAUUGUAAUAUCUAUAAUCCCUCUUUAUAAGCAAAUAAUUAUUACAAAUAAUUAUUCAUACAAAUUCAGUUCCUUUUCCAAAUAUACUUGAUUUUUUUCAAAACAAUAUUUUACUAUGCUUGAUUAAUUAAAAGGGUUUCACCUUUUUUUUAUUUUUAGAAUUACUUUAGUUCUAAUUAUUGCUCACACUAUACAGGUUUGAUAUCAUUUUAUAAAUAAUUAGAAGUACCAUGAUGUACAUGAUAAGAAGCAUCUCACUCUAAGGCUUUCCUGUUAAAGUAUCAAUUAAUUAAAAAACUAAAAUAUCUUAAAAAUAUCAUCAAAAUUAUCCAACUAACUUCUGGUUAUAGAAUCAUACAAAACUUCCCUCAGUCACCAAACUAAAACCUUGCAACGACAAUAUAAGAUCUCCAAUAUCUUAAUCCAUUAAAUGGAAAUUAAUUAGCCUUUUAAUAUUUCAUAUAUGAUCCUAAUUAAGCAUGAGAACACUUGAUAGAAUUUUCAAUUUUGAAGUUGGUUUUCUUCCUAUUUUGUAGUGAAGUUACUUAGCAAGACUGCAAAAGUAAUCUCAAAUACAAUUUUGCUUAGCCAUGGACGUUGUGAAGAAUCUUUGCAAAUUUUACCAAAAAAGAAAAAUCUUUACACUCCAGGAUAGUGGCAGCGGGUGACUGAUAGUUAUUUGACACAUCAGUUCUGGGGGCGGAGUUGCGAGUUGCCUGGGCAGGUCUUCGCCAUGCGCAGCAGGUGCUGCAGGCCGGUUCGAUCAUCCUGAAGGCGACUCGGCCACGGUCAUUGGGUGGAUUCGGAGGGGGCCGAAUGGUGAGAGCACGGACCAUCCCCUGAUCCGGGACAUAAGGAUGAUGAUGAGGGAUGGGAUGGCCUUCGAGGCCAAGCAUGUAUUCAGACAGGCUAACAGGACGGCUGACUGGGUGGCUGCCUAUGCAGCCCACCACUCAGGACACACCCUGUGGUCAGGAGAGGGGGAGCUGCCACUGACACUCCGCAAGCUUGUGUUUUUUGAUUUUCUUGGGUGUAUUCGUACGCGCAUUGUAUGAAAAACCCGUCAAAGCAAAAAAAAAAAGGAAAAGAAAAAUCUUUGCAACUAUUCAUUUGCUUGCAAGUCAUUUGCAACUUGCAAUUCAAUUUGCAAAAAAGACCUUGGUAGUUGCAUAGGGGAUUGAAGUGAAAGAUUAUAACAAUUAUUUUUGCAACUUAAGGGGCAAAUCUUAUCCCACAAUCUUGGAUCCGAUCACUCUCUCACCUUCUUAUGUUGCAACUCAAAUUUUGAGAAGACAAAAUUACAAAUACCAAUUAACUCCUUUGAAAUACUUGACACUAGUUUAUCUUUCACAUAUAUUAGAAAGUACUUGAUAUUUUCUUAUAGUAAAAUACCACCAGCAUCAGAUUAUUUAUUUUUACGAAAUAACAGAAACUACAAACUUGAAUAAAGAAAAAAUAGGCCUCUGGCCUCACACCUGUUGAUCAUAAGCAUUACAAGUUAUAACACCCAGGUUUUAGACCCUUGUUUCGUAUGCUGUCAAACUCCCUUACCACAUAAGGUUCGGAGAAGUUUAUACAUUCAUCUACCUCCAAAGAAAGAGAAUUAGUGCAGAGGAAAAUCCUCUAAUUAUAAAUUUGAGGCAUUAGAUUGAUUGAUUGUUGAAGGGUCUCUUUACAAAUUAUAAGUUUUACUUAUUCAUACUAACCGACAAUAACUGUACGCUCUGAUGGUUGUUCUCCCAUCUAGCCUCUACUCUUGGUAGUUGCAGUAACCGACAUCAAUUAUCCCCUACCAUGCAUGUUCGUUAGCAUGGUUUCUUUACGAUUGUCAAAUUGAUCAUCAUGUCGUUUUUGCCUAACCUGUAGUUUUGUAUUUGGACUAUCCCUAAGACUGCUUCAGUCAUCUUAGUCUAUUUCUGCAUAUGCAGUUGAUCACGGUCAAGUCUAGGCUUUUGGCCUGCAUUUGACUAAAUUCUUCUUCAUUGGUCUAUGCCUCUAUACUUGAUGAAAUUUAUCAUAGUUGAACUCUCCGUGGUUUGGCAAGGGUCACAUGAUUCUCACAUGUUCUGAUUUCAUCACACUUGAUCCAUGUGGCACUUGAUCUUGACUGCCCGCUGGAUUGUUGAGACGGAGUGCUGUAAACAGCAGGGAUGGGGAUUAGACAUAAAAUACCCAUUGAUGGGGGAAACAUUUGAUACCUUGACCUCGGACAGAUAGACCUCGGCAACCUUGGUACAAACAAGGUAGGCAACUUCGGCUCCAGCCAAGGAGCCAAUAGAUCGAGGUGAAUAACUUUGCCUUCGACCAAGGAGCCUAUCGACACGUACCAAUAGGGAUUGACAGUCUUGGCAAUCGGUUGUCGUGACAGCGACUGGCUAUUACGACAGCUCUGCAUCUGGCGCACGGUCAGUACUGUACAUCGCUAUACCGAGAUCAUACUACUGACUGCUACCUGACCACUGGUUUACGCCGACCUAGAUAACGACCAAACCGACUCCCCUAUGUAAAAAAAAAGUUUGGGGGACCUCAGAUAUGGCAUGCAUAAUACAAUAUCAUUCAUAAAGAACCACCCUCUGGUGAAAUUUCUCUCUUCCAUACAAUUGUCUCUCUAUUCUGACUUAGGCAUCGGAGAGUCUCCCGUCAGAAACUCGCCGGCAAGCGAACUUCUUACAGGACACCCUCCGGAGAAAGCCAGCUCGACCACUCCUCGGCCACUUCAUUUGCUUGGUUCUUGCCAACCUCAAGCCAGCCAAGCAGCGCUCCGACCUUGAUCUAGAAUUCAGUGACAACAGAUUGGCUCUAGAAGGAGAUCCCCCAGCUACAUCAACAUCAAUCAAAGGAAGAGAAAGCCAGCAUGUGGUCACGAGGAGCACACGGUGUGUCUCAUGUUUUGCAAUGCCAUGCUCCAACCUCCCGAGGGUCGUUGUAGAGCACGGAACCUGCUCCGCUAGAUGAACCCACCGUGCCUAUGGGCAAUGAGCAGUUCAACUACUCAUUCAAUAGGUGCAGGAGCUGACCACAGCGGUCUAGGACCUGCAGCAAGUAGUGGCACUACCGGAGCCAGUCCAGCCAAAAUUCAUUCAGCCCAGCCACAACUCUCUGUCGUCGGUGCACUGCAUGCGUCUGGUCAGCCACCACCCUUGAGGCCAAGACUCAAAGUGGUCUCGCUAGAGUCGACACACUUAGAAGAGCAGCCCUGGUCGGGAUGGGAAACAACGACUCUAAGCCUCCAUUCCGGCAAAAACUCUACUUUGAGCCUCUCACCUCCUCGCCAUGUGGAGGCUUCACCCUAGUGGGACGCCUACCUCGAUAGGAGAAUCGAGGAGAUGGGCCGACAGAUUCAGGCUCCAAAGGACAGACUCUGAGGGCGAUCAAUGACCUCAACUUCUUCUCAGAGAGCCCCACUUCAAUUCAAGAUGCCCAAAGUAGAGCCAUACAAUGGCAUCUCAGAUCCGGCACAUGGAUGGGUCAUCAAGCCAGGGGGCAGUGGGGCUGGACUCAUACUCACCAGCCCGGAUGGAUGAUCAUAGAGUAUGCUUUAUGGUUUGAAUUUUCGAACUUAAAUAAUGAGGCUGAAUACGAAAAUAGGGGCUUGAUCCCUUAAAUCACGAAAUCCAUGGUAUCUAGGUGACUGGAACUUCGGCCAUGGAUUCAAGCUGUUGUAGGAAAUCGAAGAAAGAUCCGGACGACGAGUGCCGAUGGUAAAAACAACUAGAACAAGAAGAAAAAGAGCUGAUUUACCAAAAUAGGGGAAAUAAGGCAUCGCCCUUCUUAGCCAAAAUUUGGUGAUCACAACUGGAAUUAAGGCUCUAAGGAAAACAAAAGAAGGAGAGGAGGAUCAACUAAGGGAUGUCGAGUUCUUACCUAACUUCUAAUGGCGAUUAGCCAUGGACACGGCUGGUAAUGGCCGACAAUUGGGGAAGAAAACCAAGAACAUCCAACGGUGAGAAGUCCGAUCAGCACUGAGGUCACUGGUGGGUUGGAAGAGAGGUUGGGUGGGCAUUAAAUAGAGCUCAGACAAGGCAGGAAUCCGCUCCAAGGUCAGAUUCCGUCCAACGAACUUGAGAGGAAGAAGACUCCUACCGAGAGUCCUCUCCCUCUUCGUACAUGCCAAACACAUGCGCCUCUCUUUUUUUUGGGGGGGGGCGUUAAUGUUUACUGGACUGGUCAAGUGGAUCAGGCUCCGCUCUCUAAUAGGACUGGGUGUUACAAUAUAUUAUCACAUAAUGAAGUUAUGACAAGAAAAAGAUAGAGAUAAUGACAAACUAGUUGUCUUUUUACACAUCUCAUAUCCUUGCACACCUCUUUGCCAACCUUGGUGGUCGGAUAUUGGAGUCAAGGUUGGUCAGAUAUUGGAGUCAAGCUGAGCUUCUAGGAAAUCUCACCUUGAAUUCCAUCAUAAGUCCCAUAAGAACUCUACUAGAGCAGAGGGUAUCUUAUAAACUCUCAUCAGAGUUGUUGGUACAAAAGUCUAGAAAAAUGGAUUUCCAUUGGAUUAAUCUCCUUAUCAAACACUAAAGGAGCCAUCAAUCAGUCAAGUUAUAAAGUUGAGAAAAAGGGAAGGCAACAUUAAGGAAUUGUCUCUUAGAGCCGUAUCAUCCGUAUGUAAAAGAUUGAGAUUUUAAAACAAUAAGAAAAAGGAGACACUAUUUUACAUUUCCAAUCUUUAUAGUUCCUUAUAAAAGGUAGCUCCUCUUUCUUUCCAUUUUUAUUAUUUCAUAGGAACCCCAUUUCAUUUAUUUCUUUUGCUUUUACAAGCUAUGUAGGUGGACCUCCUGCACUUUUGAAGGAGUAAGUGGAAUGUAGGCAAGGUCAAAAAAGAAUGUCAUGGCUUUAGCUGAAGAAUGAGAAGAGUGUUGGCAUCCGUUCAAUUCAAAACUGUAAAAAGUUAGUGGGUGUUAUUAGUCAUUUAUUGUUGGCAUCCGUUCAAAACUAAUGGGUGAUAUUAGUCAUUAGUAUAUAGAAGAGAAAGGGUCAUCCACUUCCUUCUAUUUUAUGGCUGAAGGUGGACAUUAGUUACCCACUUUGUUUGUUUUAAUUGCAUUAAAUUUAGAGAGGCUUUUCAGCUAGUCCUUGUACCCUAUAAAAGAGUGCUUUGUAUCUUUGAAUUUUAUUAAGAAAAAUUUGAAGAAAGAAAAUUAGUAGAAUUCCCAUUCUCUUCCUCCUCUUUAUAUUCUUGAGUGCCUGUUCAUCAUCUAUCAAUUCUCUUCUCCACUUUGAAAUAGUGAGAUUGAUUGAGUGCUUCUUUCUUCUUAUUUUUAUCAGGUAUCAGAGUGGGAUGAAUUCCUUCCAGCAACAAGUUCCUAAGUUAUCAAAGGAUAACUAUGGUUCAUGGUGUAUCCAAAUGAAAGCCUUGUUUGGAUCUCAAGAUCUUUGGGAGUUAAUGGUUUUGUGGAAUCCACUGACGAGCAAGAGGCUGCAUAUACAGCAGAUGAGAAGAAGGCUAUUAGGGAGCAGAGGAAGAAGGAUAAAAAAGCUUUGUUUAUACUCUAUCAAGGGUUGGACGAAGCUACCUUCGAAAAGGUUGCUGAAGCAACAACAAGCAAAGAAGCAUGGGAGAUUCUAGUUUCCAUCUUCAAAGGAGAUGAUCGAGUGAAGCGGAUUCGCCUCCAAGCAUUGCAAGGCGAGUUUGAAGCUCUCCACAUGAAGGAUGGCGAAUCAGUGUCCGAUUAUUUUUCACAGUUGCUAAUAAUUGUGAAUGGCUUGAAGAGAAAUGGUGAGAAGCUAGAUGACAUUCGUGUCGUCGAGAAGGUACUUCAAUCCCUUUCCUCUAACUUUGAGCAUGUAGUUGUAGCUAUCGAAGAGUCUAAGGACUUAGAGAUAGUUACAAUUAAAGAAUUAUUGGGUUCACUACAAGUACAUGAGCAAAGGAUGUAGAAGAAAUCCAAUCCAGCUAUAUUGGAACAAGCAUUAGAGUCAAAACUGACUCUAAAUGAUCAAAGAAAAUCUACCUCCAACCGUGGUCGAGGCAGAGGCCAAGGGCGUGGUACUCCUCAACAAUCAAGCCAAAGUUAGCAGGGGAAUCAAAGCUUUAGAGGUCGAGGACGAGGACGAGGCCGUAACCAUGGUAGAGGAAGAUCCUAUGGACAUGGAGCCAAUAGGAAUGUCCAAUGUUAUAAUUGCAAUAAUUUUGGACACUACGCCUCCGAUUGUCGGUCCAAAAUUGAUGAACAAGCCAAUGUUGCAGAGGCAUCACAUGAUGUAGGUAAUGAAUCUAUCCUACUUCUUGCACAUGAUGAUUCACAUACUUCAUAUGAAAAUUGGUAUCUUGAUUCUGGGGCAAGUAAUCAUAUGUGUGGCAAGAAAGAAUUGUUUGUAAAACUCAUGAAAGAAGUCCACGGAAAGGUGAACUUGGGAGAUUCCUCCAAACUAUCAGUUGAAGGCAAAGAAAAAAUAAAAAUCUAUCAGAAGGAUGGUAAGAAUGGGUAUAUCUCUGAUGUGUAUUAUGUACCUAAUAUGAAAAGCAAUAUUCUUAACAUUGGACAGCUUGUAGAAAAGGGACAUAACAUACAAAUGAGAGACAACUCUCUCAUUUUGAAAGAUACAAGUGGAAGAAUCAUCGCAUAUAUUCCGAUGACCCAAAAUCGUAUGUUCCCACUUCAUCUCAACACAAAGUCAGAGAAAUGCUUCUAUGGACUCAAAGAAAGUGAGUCAUGGAAGUGGCAUCAUCGUCUUGGGCAUCUUCACUUUAGCGGUCUAAAACUGCUAUCUUCAUCAAGCAUGGUGCAUGGGUUACCAAUGAUCAAGCUGCCAAGUAACACUUGUGAUGUAUGUAUACUUGGCAAACAAGCACGGCUUCCUUUUUCCAGCGGCAAAUCAUGGAGAGCAAUGGCACCACUUCAAUUGAUCCACACUGACAUAUGUGGACCUAUUGAACCUGAGUCUCUAGGAGGUAAUAGAUACUUUAUUACUUUCAUUGACGACUUCAGCAGAAAAUUAUGGGUUUAUUUUCUUAAAGAAAAGUCAGCUGCUUUUGUUGUAUUCAAAAACUAUAAAGCCCAUGUAGAAAAAGAAAGUGGUCACAAAAUUGUAACUCUCCAUUCUGAUCGAGGUGGAGAAUACACCUCAAAAGUAUUUAAUGAGUAUUGCAAGAAAGAAGGCAUAAAACAUCAAUAUACAGUGGCAUACACCCCACAGCAAAAUGGGAUCGCUGAAAGAAAGAAUCACACGAUUCUUAAUAUGACAAGAACUAUGCUCAAGGAGAAAGAAUUGCCACAGCAAUUCUGGGCGGAAGCUGUGGCGUGCUCAACAUAUGUGCUGAACCGAUGUCCUACCAAAAGUGUGAAGCACAUGACACCUCAAAAGGCGUGGAGCGGCUACAAACCAACUAUUGCACACCUAAGAAUUUUUGGGUGUAUUGCAUAUUCUCAAGUUCCCAAGCCCAACAGAAAAAAGCUGGAUAAUCGUGGUGAGAAAUGCAUCUUUCUUGGCUAUAGUGAAGAAUCGAAAGCAUACAAGCUCUAUAAUCCACUAACAAAGAAAUUAGUGGUUAGUAGAGAUGUUAUCUUUGAUGAAGAUAAAGCAUGGAGCUGGAAUGAUGAUGAGAAAGCCAAAGAGCAGCAAGUGUUUGAAGAACUUGAAGAACCUCCAACACAAGUUCCACCAAGUAUACCACCAUCUCCUCAACAUGACACACCUUCUCCUAGAAGAAACUCACCAUCUUCAACAGAAAGCAGUAGCAACAGAUCUUCCAUACACCAGAGUCCCAUCAAAAUGAGAAGUCUCGUGGAGAUUUAUAAUCAAAGAGAAGAAGACGAAGAGACCAACCUCUUCUGUUUAUAUACUGAUCAUAAACCUCUCACUUUUCAAGAAGCUGUAGAAGAAGAAUGUUGGCAAUCAGCAAUGGAGGAGGAGAUUCAUGCUAUUCAGAAGAAUGACACUUGGGAGUUGACAACACUUCCAAUAAAUCAAAAAGCUAUUGGUGUUAAGAUCAAACGUACUGCUGAGGGAGAAGUUUCUCGUUACAAGGCGAGACUAGUUGCUAAAGGCUACAAGCAGAAGUACGACAUCGACUACGAAGAGGUUUUUGCACCAGUUGCAAGACUUGACACGGUGAGAUUAUUGAUUGCACUUGCCGCUCAUCAUAAUUUGAAAAUAUAUCAGCUUGAUGUCAAAUCAGCUUUUCUAUAUGGCAUUCUUG
rnacentral:lncRNA from 1 species